rnacentral:lncRNA from 1 species
UGGCCCAAAGAUAGCUUGCACUUGGACAUCCUUUAGCAAGUAUAUGGCUGCACAUACACAAUCAGACUUAUAAGUAAUUGUCUGAACAUCUCUUUCAAAAUAGAAAAACUAAAGGGAAAAGUAAUAUCUUAGAGAAAAAGUGAAUCUUUUGAAGCAAAGAGAGAGAGAUAAUGCUAGUUUAACAUAGGUAAAGCUUAGAGCUGAAUUUUACCAGCUGAUGCUGCUUCAACAUCAUCUUUCUUUGAAUCCCUGAUAUGAGGAACUAUCCUUAUGGCACCGCGACUAGUGUUGGCAUGAUAAUCCGCAAGAGCUAGUAAGAUAGAUAUGUGCAUUACUUUUCCUACUUCUGUUUCCAGAUCAAGAAUUAUUCCCACAUCCAUCUUUACAGCACUAGUGUUAUUAUCUUCACCUCUUAUUCCAAUUACAUAGUGGCAAAAACCAAUGAUGGAAACAAGUUGAAUGAAGAUAAUUAGGGAUUUGCAUCUUGGAUUAUGCAUUUGAAAAACUCUAGUAGACAGUAAUAUGAGAGCUGGACAAGAAGCAGUUGUGGUUGUGCAAGAUAUAUAACUAUAACUUUUCUAUAAUUAAAAUAAAACCAUACCUCAUAACUGCAGAAAGAAAAGUCAAAGUUUUUCAAGAAUAACAAAUGGUUUAAAAUAUUACUUCUAGUUUGAUUCUUAAAGAAAGAGGACUUUUCACACUUGUUAGACCACAAGCUAGUAAAGNNNNNNNNNNNNNNNNNNNNNNNNNNNNNNNNNNNNNNNNNNNNNNNNNNNNNNNNNNNNNNNNNNNNNNNNNNNNNNNNNNNNNNNNNNNNNNNNNNNNNNNNNNNNNNNNNNNNNAUUCAUCUUCAGUUUAUGCGAAAUGCCAUCCUUCUCUGUCCAGAAUCCAACGACUUUCUCUCCUUUCCCGAUUAUAUUCACAAUCUGAUAUGGGUACGGCUGCAGUUCUCUAUCAAUGAUACGGAAAUCACCACUUAGUCCUGGUUUUAGCUCUGUGUUUUGCAUAGAGUCAAUGAGCAGAGAUCCCACUUCUGAGGUUCUAAGUGCAUCUAGGUCUGUUAAGUUCUCUCUAGUGUCUGGUUUCUUUAAUUUUGGGAUAGCAGUAGUGCCCACUUUCUCUACUGCUUCUGCUAAUAAGGUGAUGCUAUCAUAUGCCCAUAGCCCGAAAACAUUGAGUUCUACUUGGUCCAUGUCUGGAUACUCUUGACGAAAUCUCUUUCUCCAUCUCUUGGUGAACAUGUCAAGCUCAUUUGAUCUUGGAACAUAAGAUUUUACACCCAGAACACCUUGCAUUGAUGACUCAAUUACUGAAGUAUCUACCAGGUCCAGAAGACUCGUCAGCACAUCAGUGAUGAUCCAUGCAUAUCCACUGUUCAUCAUCCCGGCUUCUUUGGCCUUGAGGAAAAGGCGGGAGGCAAGAUUUUCUUGCAAGUGCACAAUGAACACCCUGGUCUGCAUUGUCUUCAACUUGUAUAGCUCCCUGAGGAUUUGAUCAUCAUUGGCUGAAGGAGAAAUACCACUUCUAUAGGAGACUAAAGUAUUGAUUUCCAGCAAGGCAUCAGUCAAAUAUGGAAGUAUCCCGGUUCCAUAGGGGCUUUCCUCAUAGAUUACUACAACCUCCCUCCAAUUAUAGUUUUUAACAAUUGCUGCAAUGGCUUUAGUCUGACUGGAAGAAGGAAGUGCUCCUCUGAUGAAGAAGGGAUUUUCCUUGACUGAAAGUGAAGGACUAGUUGCUGGAGAUAUUAUAGGAACUCUAACUCUGUUCCCCAAGUCGAUCACAAAAUCAGUUUGUGUAGACAUUUGUGGCCCAAAGAUAGCUUGCACUUGGACAUCCUUUAGCAAGUAUAUGGCUGCACAUACACAAUCAGACUUAUAAGUAAUUGUCUGAACAUCUCUUUCAAAAUAGAAAAACUAAAGGGAAAAGUAAUAUCUUAGAGAAAAAGUGAAUCUUUUGAAGCAAAGAGAGAGAGAUAAUGCUAGUUUAACAUAGGUAAAGCUUAGAGCUGAAUUUUACCAGCUGAUGCUGCUUCAACAUCAUCUUUCUUUGAAUCCCUGAUAUGAGGAACUAUCCUUAUGGCACCGCGACUAGUGUUGGCAUGAUAAUCCGCAAGAGCUAGUAAGAUAGAUAUGUGCAUUACUUUUCCCACAUCUGUUUCCAGAUCAAGAAUUAUGCCCACAUCCACCUUUACAGCACUAGUGUUAUUAUCUUCACCUCUUAUUCCAAUUACAUAGUGGCAAAAGCUAAUGAUGGAAACAAGUUGAAUGAAAAUAAUUAGGAAUCUGCAUCUUGGAUUAUGCAUUUGAAAAACUCUAGUAGACAGUAAUAUGAGAGCUGGACAAGAAGCAGUUGUGGUUGUGCAAGAUAUAUAACUAUAACUUUUCUAUAAUUAAAAUAAAACCAUACCUCAUAACUGCAGAAAGAAAAGUCAAAGUUUUUCAAGAAUAACAAAUGGUUUAAAAUAUUACUUCUAGUUUGAUUCUUAAAGAAAGAGGACUUUUCACGCUUGUUAGACCACAAGCUAGUAAAGCCUCCUCUUCAGUUUUGACCAAAUCAAUAAAUGUCUAAAUGAACAUAGUGACAAAAUUGAUUGGUACGCAUUCUCCCAAUUAUAUAUAACCUAUGACGUUUGUGUAUUUAUUUGAUGACUAUCUAGAGUCUAUUAAAAGGACUUCCCACAUUUUGGCUAAGUCAUGCAUGGUGAAAGUUGAGAGCUAGCUCAGAUACAAAUAAGUAGAAGAGACCAUUGUUUCUAUGACUUGGAAAAGAGUAGCUAUGACUAGUAAUCUUUAGCUUACACGGUUUCAGUUUAGAAUUGGUCAGUAGUAUUAACUUGCUUGCAUUUUUAUUUUAUUUUAAGAUGAGUGGAACUUUUUUUUUUUUUGGCUUUUUCUAAUUGUUAAUCUUAUAUAUUUUUUAAAUUUAUUUGUGAAAUUUGCAUAAAUAGCAAUCUUUUUUAUUUUAAGAUGAGUGGAACUUCUCUUCUUUUUUUUUUUUUGCUUUUUCUAAUUGUUGAUCUUAUAUUUUUUUAAUUAAUUUUUAUUUGUGAGGUUUGCAUAAAUAGCCGAAGAGGUUCAAACCCACAACUCUAGCAUGGGAAAGCAUUCCCAAGACCCCUUCCUUACCACUAAGCCAUCAAUUAGUUUUGUUAAGGGGUUCACAAGUUAAAAUACAUAUAUAUUUAUUUAAUUUUUUAAUACAAGUAGAGGGUUUAUGGAAAAGCUAUUGGGUUCGCCCGAACCCCCACUAAGAUAGGCAUAAAAGUAUCAAUACAUUUAUUUUUAUGAAGGUAAAUACCAUUAGAUGUAACUUUUCAAGAAUGAAAACAUGUAUUAAAACAAAACUGAAAAGAGUAAUAACAUAAGUGAGAAAAAAGACAAGAAAUGUAGAGAGACAAGAGAGAGUUUUCUUAUUCUUCCAAGUAUAAUCAAGUGUUUUUCAAAUCUUCAAGUGCAUAACACAAUCUCAAGACCUCUAUUUAUAUUGUUAUAAAAAGGCAUACAAAGAUAUAACAAUAACCAUGAUAUUAAUUUUUGAGAAUGUAGGGAAGAUCAAGGGAUAACAAUAAACAUGAUAUUAAUUUUUGAGAAUGUAGGGAAGAUCAAGGGGUGUAGAAGAUAAAUGAGGAGAUGGUGAAGGUGCGAGUAUUAUUACAUAUAAUGGUGAAAUUACACCUUGAAGUUAUGGACAUCCACAUUAAUAUAAUAUAUUUACAACAAAACAUUAAUUACAUAUAAAUUAUAACUAAAUUAAAAAUGAUGAGAAAAACAUAAAAAUGCCCCCAAAAAAGGAGAAAAAAAUUAAAUAUGAAUAGAGAUCAUAGAGAGGUGUCACGUCACUUUGUCUAUAUCUAGCUUUAUUUUAUAUAUAUAAGUAAGAAUAGAGGUCAUAGCCUAUAUCUAGCUUUAUUAUAUAUAUAGAUUUUUCUUCAAUUUUUGUUGGUUUUCUCUUUUUAAAUUUAAUUAUGUAAUACGUAAUAAUAAAAAAAAAACAAGAGCCUUAUUUUCCCCCAAUUUUCAUUGGUUUUUUCUUUUUAAAAUUUAUUUAUGUAAAUAUAUUCUUUUUAAAAUUUAUUUAUGUAAUUAUUAUUUUUUUGGAAUAUUUUUAAUAGCUCAAAAAAAAUUAAUACAAUUGAAUGAAAAGAGAAAAUCGGGUUAUUUUAAUCAAAAUUGAACAAUUUGAGUUGAUUUGGGGCUUUCCGUCAAAAGAGGGGUAUAUAUAUGGUGAAAUUAGUAACGGUAGGGAAAAAACUAACUUCACUUUAACGGUAAGGGCAUAGUCAACCAAUAAAACAAAAUUAAGGGGUGUUUUUGACCCUUUUCCCUAAUCUUUUUCAUAGGUAGCAGUGGAUACUGGAUACAUUUGUUAUAGUCAUAUACUCAAUAAUAUAGUAAUUUUUGUUUAUAUUUUUUAUGAACUGAAAUUGCAAGAAUUAUCAUUUAAUAAGCGAGUUUUCAAUUUUUGUUCUUCAACGGUCGAAUUUAUAUCUAGUAAAAUAUAUAUUCUGUAAAGGAGAAAAGUCAUGUAAGGCAUAAGUUGCGGAUAUUAUAAUGCAAGUAUGUAUAUAUAUAUAUCAGAAAAUAAUUUAUCUUGAACACAAAAAUUAAAAAUUAGCACAAAAUAAGGACAAAAGUGCAAUAUAUGUAUAUAUAUGUGUUAUCAGAAAGCUAUUUAUCUUGAACACAAAAAUUAAAAAUUAGCACAAAAUAAGGACAUAAGUGCAAUAUAUGUAUAUAUAUGUGUUAUCAGAAAGUUAUUUAUCUCGAACACAAAAACUAAAAAUUAGCACAAAAUAAGGUCAAAAGUGCAAAAAUUUUAUACUUUCGCUCUCCCGACUCAAGCUAAUACGUUAAAAAUUAAUGGGAAAAUUAUACAUAAUAGUAAAUAUUUAGCCUGUAUUAGGUGAUAUAGCUAUAGUUUUAGAAAAUUGUAAUUCGCGGCUAUAAUUUUUUCAAUUCUUGCUAUUGACCUGAUUUGUAUAAUUCGCAUAAUUUGUAUAAAUCUAGAAUUUGUAUAAUUCGGUUCCUAAUAGUAAAAAUCUAGAAUUGUGUAUAUGUUUACCCUAGUUAUUUGUAUACGAUUUAUUAUUUAUAAUAAAUUACCUUGUUUGUAUAUCGACAAGCGAAAUAUAUAAAUGGAGUUCUGAAAAAUUCAUAAAUGUAUAAAUACAUAAUUUGUAUAUAUUUAUCCUAUUGGUAUAUUCACAAGCGAAAUAUACAAACGUGCAGAAAUAUACAAACCACAGCCUCCAUAUCAAACAGAACUAUAGCUAUGGAGCGCAGUUAUUAGAGCUUUAUUAUGUUUGCUAUUUCUAAAAUUUUCUCAAAAUUAAAAUAGACUAUGUUUUUCGGUCUUAUUUCAAUAGGCUCAUAUGGUAUAUAAUUUGAAAGCCUAGGUUUUUUUUGUUUUUUUAUAUCAAUAUUCUUUCAACUUAGCCGAUUGACAAUUAAUUAAAUCGAUGACAAAAAUAUUGAUUUCGUAAAUUUGAGUGAUGAAAAUCAAAUUAGAAAAGUAACUAACAAAUGGAAUAUUUUAUGUUAGUGAAUGAAUGAAAUUAUAGGCCUCUUAAUUACAAGAUUUAGAUAAUCUUCUUUCUUUUGAAUUAAUUUUUGAGGUGUGAAUUAUACUCAAAAUAUAAUUUAACAUGACAUUAAAGACAAACCUGAUGUGGGCUCCCAGGAAACCAAACAAUUGCGGAGGUGGAAAUUAUUUUCUAUUCAUGAAUGUGAGCAUGUGACACACCGAAUUGGAUCAUUAUUAUAAUGCAAGUAUGUAUAUAUAUAUAUCAGAAAAUAAUUUAUCUUGAACACAAAAAUUAAAAAUUAGCACAAAAUAAGGACAUAAGUGCAAUAUAUGUAUAUAUAUGUGUUAUCAGAAAGUUAUUUAUCUCGAACACAAAAACUAAAAAUUAGCACAAAAUAAGGUCAAAAGUGCAAAAAUUUUAUACUUUCGCUCUCCCGACUCAAGCUAAUACGUUAAAAAUUAAUGGGAAAAUUAUACAUAAUAGUAAAUAUUUAGCCUGUAUUAGGUGAUAUAGCUAUAGUUUUAGAAAAUUGUAAUUCGCGGCUAUAAUUUUUUCAAUUCUUGCUAUUGACCUGAUUUGUAUAAUUCGCAUAAUUUGUAUAAAUCUAGAAUUUGUAUAAUUCGGUUCCUAAUAGUAAAAAUCUAGAAUUGUGUAUAUGUUUACCCUAGUUAUUUGUAUACGAUUUAUUAUUUAUAAUAAAUUACCUUGUUUGUAUAUUGACAAGCGAAAUAUAUAAAUGGAGUUCUGAAAAAUUCAUAAAUGUAUAAUACAUAAUUUGUAUAUAUUUAUCCUAUUGGUAUAUUCACAAGCGAAAUAUACAAACGUGCAGAAAUAUACAAACCACAGCCUCCAUAUCAAACAGAACUAUAGCUAUGGAGCGCAGUUAUUAGAGCUUUAUUAUGUUUGCUAUUUCUAAAAUUUUCUCAAAAUUAAAAUAGACUAUGUUUUUCGGUCUUAUUUCAAUAGGCUCAUAUGGUAUAUAAUUUGAAAGCUUAGGUUUUUUUGUUUUUUUAUAUCAAUAUUCUUUCAACUUAGCCGAUUGACAAUUAAUUAAAUCGAUGACAAAAAUAUUGAUUUCGUAAAUUUGAGUGAUGAAAAUCAAAUUAGAAAAGUAACUAACAAAUGGAAUAUUUUAUGUUAGUGAAUGAAUGAAAUUAUAGGCCUCUUAAUUACAAGAUUUAGAUAAUCUUCUUUCUUUUGAAUUAAUUUUUGAGGUGUGAAUUAUACUCAAAAUAUAAUUUAACAUGACAUUAAAGACAAACCUGAUGUGGGCUCCCAGGAAACCAAACAAUUGCGGAGGUGGAAAUUAUUUUCUAUUCAUGAAUGUGAGCAUGUGACACACCGAAUUGGAUCAUGAAAUCUCAUAUAAAGAAUUUGGAUUUGUACGGUAUAUAUGAGGAUAAUAAUGAAAGAAAUGUCUCACAUCAAUGAUAAAUAAAAUCCUAAGCUUCGUUGUUCAACAAGUGAAUUCAAAUUUUUAGAUUCUUUAAUAUCUUGAUGUUAAACUAAAAAAUAUUGGUUUAUAAUUACUCUUAAUUAUUUAAUUUUUUGUCGGUUUGCUUCACGGGUGUGAUUAGCAAGGGAUAAUCAUUCAUUUUGUGGCAUGUAUAAUUAAUAAUUACUAGUGUAUUUGUCCGCGCUUUGCGUGUGUAUAAAAAAAUAUUAAAUAUAUUUUUAAAUAAUUAAUGUUAUUAUUUGAUAAAUAUUCUAAUAAAUAAUAUAAUAAAAGGGAGAAACACAAAUUAAGUUACGAUUUUGAUAUUAUCUAUUCAGAAAAAUUGUUAAAAAAGUUUCAUGCUACAGUUUCAAUUUAAAAUUGCUGAUAAAAAGAUGAAAAUAUAAAAUUGAUAUGAAAAGCUUUAGUUAAAUAAACAAUCUAAUUAUCAUAGUUUCAUACUAAAUUUCAUGAUUUUAUAGCAAUAUUAUUGAUUCAACCAUUAAUAUUAAAUCUACUUUAUCGUAAAUUAUGUGACUUUCUUUUUUUGUAUAAAUGACUAUAUAAUAGAAAUAAGAAAAUCAAAAUAUAUUUGUGCUAAAUCAUCGUGAGGGAAAAAAUAUUUGAAUUAUAUUCGAACAUAGUUAUACACAAAAUUCAAAAGUUAGAGAUUUUUUUUCGAUAUCCGAUGCUCAUAGUGACACUCAUUUGAUACAUAUUUGUGUCGCAUAAUGAUAUCCGAUGCACGUAGUGACACUCAUUUGAUACAUAUUUGUGUCGCAUAAGAUCCAUUAAUAUUUUAAUUUAUAUUUAAACUUUCAUUCUUAUAGUGUGCAUUGUGAAAAGAGAUACUUAAGUUGCUACAGUGAAACAUUACCGUUGAGGUUAUACUUUUACAAUAAAAAUUAAAUUAAAUUAAACACAUAAUUUUGUCGUAUUAAGAUUAUCAGAUAGUGAUGAAGAAAUAAUUUUUUUACAAAAGAUAUGAGUAUGUAGUGUUCAAGAUGUAGAAAAAGUAUCAAGAGUUAGAUAAAUUUUUUCAAUUUAUAUAUAUAUGUGGGACAAUAAAAGUUUAACAACAUCAAAAUAAUUAUUCCUAUUAUUACAAUUUUAUUGUUGUAAUUAUUAUAAAUAAAUUGGAGCAAUAACUCUCCAAAAGAUAACUCCAUUUUUUGAUGUGGGAAAAAUAAAAUAUUUUUUUUACUUUCAAUAAUAAUAAAUUUAAACACAAAUUUGUUAUUAAAGGAAUUAAAUGAUGAAAUUUAAAAAAUUUCUUGAUAAAUAAGAGAGUUGAAUAAAUUAUUUUUUAGUAUAUAUAUACACACACUUGAUUAUUUUUAGGGAAAAGGGUCAAAAAUAUUCUCAAUUUUAGUUUAUUAGUUAAAUAUACCCCUAUCGUUGAAACAAAGUUAUUCAUACCAUCACCGUUACUAAUUUCACCAUUUAUACCCCUCAAUUUACGGAAAUUCCUAAAUCAAACAAAAUUGACCCGAUUUCUUAAAAAAUGACUCAUUUUCCAUUUUAAACCUAUGACCGACCCAUCUAUCUAUCUUAAACCCAAAAGAAUUUAACCCAUUUUCUAUACCCAUUCUAAAAAGAAAAUUCAUUUGGAGCUACUUGGGAGAAUGAAUUAUAGGUGACAAAAAAGUGUUGAAAUGUAAAAAGAGUGACUCUAGUUUUAAUUAUUAAGUGUACGUGACAAAUUUUUAAUUAAUUUUUAAAAAUAAUUAUAUAGGUCCUCAAGUUUUUAUUUUUACACUUUCACCCAAAUUUAAGUAAACCCCUAAUUUCUAAAAUAGGAAAACCCCCAAAUCAGUUCUUUUUUGUUCUCUCCCAACGUCCCGCUCUUUUCACAUUUUUUUUGCUUCUAAUCUUCAUCACUAGGCGUGACCUGACUUCAAAGACAUUGUCGAGCAGCACCUAAACACACAAAAAUCGAUCCGAUCUAAGCACUUUUAGACGAGUAUGAUGACUCUACUAAUGGAGGAAAGAGAAGAAGGAGAGUGGCAUCGUGGUCGGCCAUGGCCGUUUCCGAAGCAAACUGUCGUCGCCGGAGCUCGAAGCAGACAAUUGGAGAGAAUCAAAGACAUAGAUUUUACCCAAAUAAUUAUAACAAAAAAAAUUAAACCAAUAAAAGAAAAUUCACAACCCCACCCCCUGUAAUGUCUUCCUCAAAGAUCCUACUCAUUUGCAGAAACAUCUACACACCCCAUCCUUCCCUCUAAUUUUUUUCUCCAAACUCUCCAAUUCCUUUUAGUGCGCACACACCUACACACUAUUUCUUUUUUCAUCAUUUUAGUGUAGUAUCUUUAUUCACUAUUAUUAGAAUUUAACUUUGUAAGGGAAUUGGUGAGAUAGGUAAAUGUGCUUCUCACAAAGAUGUCUGCUUUUUGCAGUCAUGCGAAGAGGCAGCGAUGAUGAUGUUCACUUUUUGAGCUAGCUAACUUUGGAAUCUGGAGAAAAAUAAUUUAAAAGGAAGAAUAAAAAAAGUUUGUAGAAAUGGUGGCUAAAGGGUAAGGAAAAUGAGUUAAAUUAUUUUGGGUUUAAGAUAGAUAGAUGGGUCAGGCAUGGGUUUAAAAUGGGAAAUAGGUCAUUUUUUAAUAAAUCGGGUCAAUUUUAUUUGAUUUGGGGAUUUCUGUCAAUUGAGGGGUAUAAACGGUGAAAUUAAUAACGGUGAGGGUAUAAAUAACUUUGUUUUAACGGUAUGGGUAUAUUCAACUAAUAAACUAAAAUUGAGGGGUAUUUUUGACCCUUUUCCCAUAUUUUUAUAAUGCCUUUAUUUAUAGGAUAACAAUAUAAAAUAUCAAAUGAUAUCAUGAACAUGACUAUUAAUAUGAUUUAAGAGAUAUGAUCAAGUCAUGAAAGUAAGGAAAAUAAAGACAAUUAAAUAUCAAAUGAUAUUAUGAACAUAAUUAUUAAUAUAAUUUAGGAGUUAUGAUCAUCAAAAGUCAUGAAAAUAAAAACAAUUAAAAUUUUCUAUUAAAAAAUAUAAAUAAAUGAAGGAAUAUAAUUGACAUAUUCAUUUUUGUACAACAAUAAGAUAUAUAUAAAUAAGAAAAAUUAUCAAAAAAUGAGAAAAAAAGAAGAUAAAUAUGAUUCUUGGCCAAAAAAAUGUGUCACGUCACUUUUCUUUUAUCUAGAUAAUUUAUAUGUUGGUAAAGAAAGUAGAUUGAGAGAGAAAAACAAUUUUACUAAGUCGUUUAUAUCCUAAUCAAGUCUAAAAAUACCCCUCAUUCAUCUAUUGAGCUAAAAAUACCCCUCCAUCCACCUUUUUGGUCCAUCUCUACCCCUUAAAAACUAACAACUACUUUUUAAAAAUUAUUAUUAUUAUUAUUUGUUACGUGUCAUUUUCUUAUUGGAUAAUUAAAUCUCAACCCAUUUAAUUUUCCCCUACCCACCCAUUGUAGUGAACAUGAUCAAACCCAAUUAGAAGACCCAUUAAAAAUAAUUGAUUGAAACUUUCUCCCCUAACCCCAAGCCUCUUUCUUCUUCCCUCUUUUCUUAUUCAAAAAUUUCAAGAUAAUAUUCAAUCAAAUAAUACAAUUUCCGCUGCAAUACUAACUUGAAGUUGAAGGAUUCAAGGAGUAUUGAUUUUUGCAGUCUUCUUUCCAUCACGUAAAAAAAACUACACCAAAAUCUAUCAAAAUUGCACCUGAGCUAUAACAAAACAGAAGCAAACCUGCACCUAUAUUAUACCACAAACUAAAUCAAAACUGUAAAGAAACAGAGGCCAAAAGGCAAUGAAAGUGCACCAUAAUGAGAUUAAAAACUGGACCAAAAUUUGAUGAUAAACAGCACCAAAGCUGGUCCAAAAACGAAAAUAAAAGUGGUUCAAAUUUACUUUAUUAACGAUGGAAUACAUUACAAUGAAAUUUACGAAUUAUUCCAACUCCUUAAACGUAAGAAUAUUAAUCAAACUAAACACAAUUUCACUAUCAUACCAACAAUAAUAGUAAUUAUAAUUAAGAACAUUAUACUAACUAGACACCAUCAACAAAUUUUCAUAUCAUACACUUAUCUAGAUUGCAUUGGACAUUGUAUCAUUUGAUUGAAAGUAGUCUAGAAAUAUUUUGAAUAAGAAAAGAGGGAAGAAGAAAGAGGCUUGGGGUUAGGGGAGAAAGAUUCAAUCAAUUUAUUUUUUAAUGGGUCUUCUAAUUGGGUUUGGGUCAUGUUCACUACAAUGGGUGGGUAGGGGAAAAUUAAAUGGGUUGAGAUUUAAUUUAUCCAAUAGGAAAAUGACAUGUAACAAAUAAUAAUAAUAAUUUUUUAAAAAAAAGUGAUUGUUAGUUUUAAGGGUAAAGAUGGACCAAAAAAGUGGAUGGAGGGGUAUUUUUUAGCCCAAUAGAUGAAUGAGGUAUAUUUUGUCGAGGGGGUUCGGGUGAACACUCUCCCUCCCUUGAUUUGCUCAUUGAUACUAUUAUUGUUAGUGCAAGAGGAAACUGCUAGGGAAGUUGCCUAUGAUCUAUGUUGGAGCAGAUGGGAUAUAAGAUUUUGAUUUGAUGGGUUCAAUUUUUAGAUUCUCAUCAUUGAGCCCGUUAUACUUUGAAAUUAUGGUGGGUUCAUGAUAUUAUAUUAUUAAUUAAAAUUUUAGUGAUUUUUCACAUAUACUUUUAUGAUCUGUGUCAAAAAUGCAAAGCUUAUACUUAUAUUCGCCAUCCGCCCUGUGUAACUGAACAUAUUACUGUUUAUCUUCCAUGUAGCAGUGAUCCUAAAACCUUUCCUUAUNNNNNNNNNNNNNNNNNNNNNNNNNNNNNNNNNNNNNNNNNNNNNNNNNNNNNNNNNNNNNNNNNNNNNNNNNNNNNNNNNNNNNNNNNNNNNNNNNNNNGUUAUUCAGCUGAAGAGGUUAGUUUUACCUUAGAAUUGAUCUUGUGAACAAGAUCAUCAUAGUUUUGAGAAGUUGGGCUAUGUGCUAUUGGAAAUGGAAUAAAUUCGUAAGGGACAUCAUAUUUCAAAGAUAAGAUGACUUCUUUGAAGACAUCUGGCCCUAAACCAGUUGUAAUUACUGCUUGUGUCGUUGGAUCUCUUUCCACUUUAAUGAAUUGCUCCAGCCCUCCUUUGUCUGGAACUCCAACCCUUAACUUCUUCCCACUUGUGGGUAUUUCCCAGCCUCUCGGAACAAUAGUAGAUUCACCAGGCCAAAUGAUGACCCCUAGUUGCUUAUUAUUAGUUUUAGCUGUUUUACCAUUCAUCUUCAGUUUAUGCGAAAUGCCAUCCUUCUCUGUCCAGAAUCCAACGACUUUCUCUCCUUUCCCGAUUAUAUUCACAAUCUGAUAUGGGUACGGCUGCAGUUCUCUAUCAAUGAUACGGAAAUCACCACUUAGUCCUGGUUUUAGCUCUGUGUUUUGCAUAGAGUCAAUGAGCAGAGAUCCCACUUCUGAGGUUCUAAGUGCAUCUAGGUCUGUUAAGUUCUCUCUAGUGUCUGGUUUCUUUAAUUUUGGGAUAGCAGUAGUGCCCACUUUCUCUACUGCUUCUGCUAAUAAGGUGAUGCUAUCAUAUGCCCAUAGCCCGAAAACAUUGAGUUCUACUUGGUCCAUGUCUGGAUACUCUUGACGAAAUCUCUUUCUCCAUCUCUUGGUGAACAUGUCAAGCUCAUUUGAUCUUGUAACAUAAGAUUUUACACCCAGAACACCUUGCAUUGAUGACUCAAUUACUGAAGUAUCUACCAGGUUCCAUAGGGGCUUUCCUCAUAGAUUACUACAACCUCCCUCCAAUUAUAGUUUUUAACAAUUGCUGCAAUGGCUUUAGUCUGACUGGAAGAAGGAAGUGCUCCUCUGAUGAAGAAGGGAUUUUCCUUGACUGUAAGUAAAGGACUUGUUGCUGGAGAAAUUAUAGGGACUUUUACUCUGUUCCCUAAGUCGAUCACAAAAUCAGUUUGAGUAGACAUUUGUGGCCCAAAGAUAGCUUGCACUUGGACAUCCUUUAGCAAGUAUAUGGCUGCACAUACACAAUCAGACUUAUAAGUAAUUGUCUGAACAUCUNNNNNNNNNNNNNAAAUUUAUUUGUGAAAUUUGCAUAAAUAGCAAUCUUUUUUAUUUUAAGAUGAGUGGAACUUUUUUUUUUUUUGGCUUUUUCUAAUUGUUAAUCUUAUAUAUUUUUUAAAUUUAUUUGUGAAAUUUGCAUAAAUAGCAAUCUUUUUUAUUUUAAGAUGAGUGGAACUUUUUUUUUUUUUGGCUUUUUCUAAUUGUUAAUCUUAUAUAUUUUUUAAAUUUAUUUGUGAAAUUUGCAUAAAUAGCAAUCUUUUUUAUUUUAAGAUGAGUGGAACUUCUUCUUUUUUUUUUUGCCUUUUCUAAUUGUUAAUCUUAUAUAUUUUUUAAUUUAUUUGUGAAAUUUGCAUAAAUAGCAAUCUUUUUUAUUUUAAGAUGAGUGGAACUUCUUCUUUUUUUUUUUGCCUUUUCUAAUUGUUAAUCUUAUAUAUUUUUUAAUUUAUUUGUGAAAUUUGCAUAAAUAGCAAUCUUUUUUAUUUUAAGAUGAGUGGAACUUCUCUUCUUUUUUUUUUUUUGCUUUUUCUAAUUGUUGAUCUUAUAUUUUUUUAAUUAAUUUUUAUUUGUGAGGUUUGCAUAAAUAGCCGAAGAGGUUCAAACCCACAACUCUAGCAUGGGAAAGCAUUCCCAAGACCCCUUCCUUACCACUAAGCCAUCAAUUAGUUUUGCUAAGGGGUUCACAAGUUAAUAUACAUAUAUAUUUAUUUAAUUUUUUAAUACAAGUAUAGAGUUUACAUAAAAGCUAUUGGGUUCGCCCGAACCCCCACUAAGAUAGGCAUAAAAGUAUCAAUACAUUUAUUUUUAUGAAGGUAAAUACCAUUAGAUGUAACUUUUCAAGAAUGAAAACAUGUAUUAAAACAAAACUGAAAAGAGUAAUAACAUAAGUGAGAAAAAAAGACAAGAAAUGUAGAGAGACAAGAGAGAGUUUUCUUAUUCUUCCAAGUAUAUUCAAGUGUUUUCCAAAUCUUCAAGUGCAUAAUACAAUCUCAAGACCUCUAUUUAUAUUGUUAUAAAAAGACAUACAAAGAGAUAACAAUAAACAUGAUAUUAAUUUUUGAGAAUGUAGGGAAGAUCAAGGGGUGUAGAAGAUAAAUGAGGAGAUGGUGAAGGUGUGAGUAUUAUUACAUAUAAUGGUGAAAUUACACCUUGAAGUUAUGGACAUCCACAUUAAUAUAAUAUAUUUACAACAAAACAUUAAUUACAUAUAAAUUAUAACUAAAUUAAAAAUGAUGAGAAAAACAUAAAAAUGCCCCCAAAAAAGGAGAAAAAAAUUAAAUAUGAAUAGAGAUCAUAGAGAGGUGUCACGUCACUUUGUCUAUAUCUAGCUUUAUUUUUAUUUUAUAUAUAUAUAUAUAUAUAUAUAUAAGAAUAGAGGUCAUAGCCUAUAUCUAGCUUUAUUAUAUAUAUAGAUUUUUCUUCAGUUUUUGUUGGUUUUCUCUUUUUAAAUUUAUUUAUGUAAUACGUAAUAAUAAUAAUAAUAAAAGAGCCUUAUUUUCCCCCAAUUUUCAUUGGUUUUUUCUUUUUUAAAAUUUAUUUAUGUAAAUAUAUUCUUUUUAAAAUUUAUUUAUGUAAUUUUAUUUUUUUUGGAAUAUUUUUAUAUCUAUUAUAUUUUUAAUAGCUCAAAAAAUAUUAAUUCAAUUGAAUGAAAAGAGAAAAUCGGGUUAUUUUAAUCAAAAUUGAACAAUUUGAGUUGAUUUGGGGCUUUCCGUCAAAUGAGGGGUAUAUAUGGUGAAAUUAGUAACGGUAGGGAAAAAACUAACUUCACUUUAACGGUAAAAGCAUAGUUUACCAAUAAAACAAAAUUAAGGGGUGUUUUUGACCCUUUUCCCUUAUCUUUUUCAUAGGUAGCAGUGGAUACUGGAUACAUUUGUUAAAGUCAUAUACUCAAUAAUAUAGUAAUUUUUGUUUAUAUUUUUUAUGAACUAAUGAAAUUGCAAGAAUUAUCACUUAAUAAGCGAGUUUUCAAUUUUUGUUCUUCAACGGUCGAAUUUAUAUCUAGUAAAAUAUAUAUUCUGUAAAGGAGAAAAGUCAUGUAAGGCAUAAGUUGCGGAUAUUAUAAUGCAAGUAUGUAUAUAUAUAUAUCAGAAAAUAAUUUAUCUUGAACACAAAAAUUAAAAAUUAGCACAAAAUAAGGACAAAAGUGCAAUAUUUGUAUAUAUAUGUGUUAUCUGAAAGUUAUUUAUCUUGAACACAAAAAUUAAAAAUUAGCACAAAAUAAGGACAUAAGUGCAAUAUAUGUAUAUAUAUGUGUUAUCAGAAAGUUAUUUAUCUCGAACACAAAAACUAAAAAUUAGCACAAAAUAAGGUCAAAAGUGCAAAAAUUUUAUACUUUCGCUCUCCCGACUCAAGCUAAUACGUUAAAAAUUAAUGGAAAAAUUAUACAAAAUAGUAAAUAUUUAGCCUGUAUUAGGUGAUAUAGCUAUAGUUUUAGAAAAUUGUAAUUUGCGGCUAUAAUUUUUUCAAUUCUUGCUAUUGACCUGAUUUGUAUAAUUCGCAUAAUUUGUAUAAAUCUAGAAUUUGUAUAAUUCGGUUCCUGAUAGUAAAAAUCCAGAAUUUUGUAUAUGUUUACCCUAGUUAUUUGUAUACGAUUUAUUAUUUAUAAUAAAUUACCUUGUUUGUAUAUUGACAAGCGAAAUAUAUAAAUGGAGUUCUGAAAAAUUCAUAAAUGUAUAAUACAUAAUUUGUAUAUAUUUAUCCUAUUGGUAUAUUCGCAAGCGAAAUAUACAAACCACAGCCUCCAUAUCAAACAGAACUAUAGCUAUGGAGCGCAGUUAUUAGAGCUUUAUUAUGUUUGCUAUUUCUAAAAUUUUCUCAAAAUUAAAAUAGACUAUGUUUUUCGGUCUUAUUUCAAUAGGCUCAUAUGGUAUAUAAUUUGAAAGCCUAGGUUUUUUUUGUUUUUUUAUAUCAAUAUUCUUUCAACUUAGCCGAUUGACAAUUAAUUAAAUCGAUGACAAAACUAUUGAUUUCGUAAAUUUGAGUGAUGAAAAUCAAAUUAGAAAAGUAACUAACAAAUGAAAUAUUUUAUGUUAGUGAAUGAAUGAAAUUAUAGGCUUCUUAAUUACAAGAUUUGGAUAAUUUUCUUUCUUUUGAAUUAAUUUUUAAAGUGUGAGUUGUACUCAAAAUCUAAUUUAACAUGACAUUAAAGACAAACCUGAUGUGGGCUCCCAGGAAACCAAACAAUUGCGGAGGUGGAAAUUAUUUUCUAUUCAUGAAUGUGAGCAUGUGACACACCGAAUUGGAUCAUGAAAUCUCAUAUAAAGAAUUUGGAUUUGUACGGUAUAUAUGAGGAUAAUAAUGAAAGAAAUGUCUCACAUCAAUGAUAAAUAAAAUCCUAAGCUUCGUUGUUCAACAAGUGAAUUCAAAUUUUUAGAUUCUUUAAUAUCUUGAUGUUAAACUAAAAAAUAUUGGUUUAUAAUUACUCUUAAUUAUUUAAUUUUUUGUCGGUUUGCUUCACGGGUGAGCAUGUAUAAUUAAUUACUAGUGUACUUGUCCGCGCUUCGCGUGUGUAUAAGAAAAUAUUAAAUAUAUUUUUAAAUAAUUAAUGCCAUUAUUUGAUAAAUAUUCUUAUAAAUAAUAUAAUAAAAGGGAGAAAUACAAAUUAAGUUACGAUUCUGAUAUUAUCUAUUCAGAAAAAUUGUUAAAAAAGUUUCAUGCUACAGUUUCAAUUUAAAAUUGCUGAUAAAAAAGAUGAAAAUAUAAAAAUUGAUAUGAAAAGCUUUAGUUAAAUAAACAAUCUAAUUAUCAUAGUUUCAUACUAAAUUUCAUGAUUUUAUAGCAAUAUUAUUGAUUCAACCAUUAAUAUUAAAUCUACUUUAUCGUAAAUUAUGUGACUUUUCUUUUUUUGUAUAAAUGACUAUAUAAUAGAAACAAGAAAAUCAAAAUAUAUUUGUGCUAAAAUCAUCGUGAGGGAAAAAAUAUUUUGAAUUAUAUUCGAACAUAGUUAUACACAAAAUUCAAAAGUUAGAGAUUUUUUUUCGAUAUCCGAUGCUCAUUUUUUUUUUGAUAUCCGAUGCACGUAGUGACACUCAUUUGAUACAUAUUUGUGUCGCAUAAGAUCCAUUAAUAUUUUAAUUUAUAUUUAAACUUUCAUUCUUAUAGUGUGCAUUGUGAAAAGAGAUACUUAAGUUGCUACAGUGAAACAUUACCGUUGAGGUUAUACUUUUACAAUAAAAAUAAAAUAAAAUUAAACACAUAAUUUUGUCGUAUUAAGAUUAUCAGAUAGCGAUGAAGAAAUAUUUUUUUUUAAAAAAAAAUGAGUAUGUAGUGUUCAAGAUGUAGAAAAAGUAUCAAGAGUUAGAUAAAUUUUUUCAAUUUAUAUAUAUAUAUGGGACAAUAAAAGUUUAACAACAUCAAAAUAAUUAUUCCUAUUAUUACAAUAUUAUUGUUGUAAUUAUUAUAAAUAAAUUGGAGCAAUAACUCUCCAAAAGAUAACUCCAUUUUUUGUAUGUGGGAAAAUAAAAUAAUUUUUUUACUUUUCAAUAAUAAUAAAUUUUAAACACAAAUUUGUUAUUAAGAGAAUCAAAUGAUGAAAUUUAAAAAAUUUACUUGAUAAAUAAGAGAGUUGAAUAAAUUAUUUUUUAGUAUAUAUAUAUAUACACACACACUUGAUUAUUUUUAGGGAAAAGGGUCAAAAAUAUCCUCAAUUUUAGUUUAUUAGUUAAAUAUACCCCUAUCGUUGAAACAAAGUUAUUCAUACCAUCACCGUUACUAAUUUCUCCAUUUAUACCCCUCAAUUGACGGAAAUCCCUAAAUCAAACAAAAUUGACUCGAUUUCUUAAAAAAUGACUCAUUUUCCAUUUUAAAACCAUGUCCGACCCAUCUAUCUAUCUUAAACCCAAAAGAAUUUAACCCAUUUUCUAUACCCAUUCUAAAAAGAAAAUUCAUUUGGAGCUACUUCUCCAAUUGCGUUUUAGGUGACAAAAAAGUGUUGAAAUGUAAAAAGAGUGACUCUAGUUUUAAUUAUUAAGUGUAGGUGACAAAUUUUUAAUCAAUUUUUAACAAUAAUUAAAUAAGUCCUCAAGUUUUUGUUUUUACACUUUCAUUUUUUGGAGCAAUAAUUUUGUUNNNNNNNNNNNNNNNNNNNNNNNNNNNNNNNNNNNNNNNNNNNNNNNNNNNNNNNNNNNNNNNNNNNNNNNNNNNNNNNNNNNNNNNNNNNNNNNNNNNNNNUGACUUCAAAGACAUUGUCGAGCAGCACCUAAACACACAAAAAUCGAUCCGAUCUAAGCACUUUUAGACGAGUAUGAUGACUCUACUAAUGGAGGAAAGAGAAGAAGGAGAGUGGCAUCGUGGUCGGCCAUGGCCGUUUCCGAAGCAAACCGUUGUCGCCGGAGCUCGAAGCAGACAAUUGGAGAGAAUCAAAGACAUAUAUUUUACCCAAAUAAUUACAACAAAAAAAAUUAAACCAAUAAAAGAAAAUUCACAACCCCCACCCCCUGUAAUGUCUUCCUCAAAGAUCCUACUCAUUUGCAGAAACAUCUGCACACCCCAUCCUUCCCUCUAAUUUUUUUCUCCAAACUCUUCGAUUCGUUUUAGUGCGCACACACCUACACACUAUUUCUUUUUUCAUCAUUUUAGAGUAGUAUCUUUAUUCACUAUUAUUAGAAUUUAACUUUGUAAGGGAAUUGGUGAGAUAGGUAAAUGUGCUUCUCACAAAGAUGUCUGCUUUUUGCAGUCAUGAGAAGAGGCAGCGAUGAUGAUGUUCACUUUUUGAGUUAGCUGACUCUGGAAUUUGGGGAAAAUAAUUUAAAAGGAAGAGUAAAAAAAGUUUGUAGAAAUGGUGACUAAAGGGCAAGGAAAAUGAGUUAAAUUAUUUUGGGUUUAAGAUAGAUGGAUGGAUCAGGCAUGGGUUUAAAAUGGGGGAUGGGUCAUUUUUUAACAAAUCGGGUCAAGUUUGUUUGAUUUGGGGAUUUCUGUCAAUUGAGGGGUAUAAAUGGUGAAAUUAAUAACGACGAGGGUAUAAAUAACUUUGUUUUAACGGUAUGGGUAUAUUCAACUAAUAAACUAAAAUUGAGGGGUAUUUUUGACCCUUUUCCCAUAUUUUUAUAAUGCCUUUAUUUAUAGGAUAACAAUAUAAAAUAUCAAAUGAUAUCAUGAACAUGACUAUUAAUAUGAUUUAAGAGAUAUGAUCAAGUCAUGAAAGUAAGGAAAAUAAAGACAAUUAAAUAUCAAAUGAUAUUAUGAACAUAAUUAUUAAUAUAAUUUAGGAGUUAUGAUCAUCAAAAGUCAUGAAAAUAAAAACAAUUAAAAUUUUCUAUUAAAAAAUAUAAAUAAAUGAAGGAAUAUAAUUGACAUAUUCAGUUUUGUACAACAAUAAGAUAUAUAUAAAUAAGAAAAAUUAUCAAAAAAUGAGAAAAAAAGAAGAUAAAUAUGAUUCUUGGCCAAAAAAAUAUGUCACGUCACUUUUCUUUUAUCUAGAUAAUUUAUAUGUUGGUAAAAAAAGUAGAUUGAGAGAGAAAAACAAUUUUACUAAGUCGUUUAUAUCCUAAUCAAAUACUUUUGCAUUUUGAGUUCAGACCAGGUCAUAGCAGUAAUUUCUGAAAUUUCAAAAACUUAAGAACUUAUAACAAUAACAAUAAAAAAAAUUAAAAUAUGAAGAUCACAAAGUUACGUAUUAAUAGUUAAAAAAAAUUUAUGAAUUAAACUGUAUUUUGAAAAUUAAUUAACUUUAACAUUCUCAUAUUCUAUCAUUCAUCUAUUGGGCUAAAAAUACCCUUGAAGUAUUAGAAAAGGUCUAAAAAUACCCCUCCAUCCGCCUUUUUGGUCCAUCUCUAUCCUUAAAACUAACAGUCACUUUUAAAAAAAUUAUUAUUAUUAUUAUUUGUUACAUGUCAUUUUCUUAGUGGAUAAAUUAAAUCCCAGCCCAUUUAAUUUUCCCCUACCCACCCAUUGUAGUGAACAUGAUCAAACCCAAUUAGAAGACCCAUUAAAAAAUAAAUUGAUUGAGAUUUAAUUUAUCCAAUAGGAAAAUGACAUGUAAUAAAUAAUAAUAAUAAUAAUAAAAAAUUAAAAAGUGGUUGUUAGUUUUAAAGGUAGAGAUGGACCAAAAAAGUGGAUGGAGGGGUAUUUUUAGCCCAAUAGAUGAAUGAAUGGUAUUUUUAGACCUUUUCAAAUAAUUCAAGGGUAUUUUUGGCCCUUUUCUGUAAUUAAUAAAAAGUUGAUCCACAUAACUAUAAAAUUAUAUCUACAUACUUUCUUCAGUAGCAUACAUAUACAUGUAUAAGGGUGUAUAAAACCGAAUCGAAAACCUAACCAAACCGCAAACCGAGUCAACCCGGAAAAAAAACCCGAACUAGUGGUUUGGUUUUUGAAAAAAAAAACCCCGAACUAUAUUUGGGAUUGGUUUGGUUUUAACUAAAAAAAACCAACCCGACAUUAUAUAUAUAAUUUUAAAAUUUUAUUUUAUACAUAAAAAUAUUUACUUUGAUAUAAUUUUUAAAUAUUUCUUAUACUUUUUCAUAAUUUUUUAUCUUUUAUUAUAUUAUUUCAAGUUUUGAAACUUAGAAUUAUGAAUGGGCCAAUAAAAAUUAUAGUUCACAGAUGUUGGUAAUUGCCUAAUUAUAAUAAAGCUUAAAUCAAAAUUAAAUUAAUACUAAUGCAAAAAUAAAAUCAUUUCAACACGACAAUAAUAUUGAAUAUUUGUUCUUUAGUUUUACAUUGGUUUAGACAAUUAAAAUACAUAACCUAAUUUAAUUUCCUUUAAAUAUUUAGUCAUGUAACUAAUACUUAUUAAAUUUAUUUUUAGCAUGCUUUAGUACUUUUAAAUUAUGAUCAUUUUCAUUAUGACUUGUUAAUUUGCAAUAUUUGUUUUACACGAUUUCAUUAUUAUUAUUAUUUUUGUUGGAUAUUUUAGUGUCAUUAAUCAUAUUAUAUUGUAGUAUAUUUUUAAGAAACAUCUUAGAUAGUUGUAGUUUGGUAUGGCUAAAGAAAUAUUUGAAGUACAAGUAAAUUAUAUGUUUGUAUGAAUACUUUACCGAAACAACCCAAAAAACCGAAAAAACCUGAAAAACCCAAGGUUGAAAAACCCGAGUUUUAUUGGUUUGGUUUAUAAAUAUAAAAAUCCAACACAAAUGGUUUGGUUUGAUAUUUGAAAAACCCGAACCAACCCGACCAUGUACACCCCUAUACAUGUAUAUGUUAACUUCUUAUUCUACUUUGUUGAAUUAUAUCCUCAGCAUAAGUAGUGAAGACAAAACAAAGUAAUAAUAAAAUGACGGAAUGACCUGGGAGACCCAUGUACUUAGCUCCGUUUGUAAGUUGAACCCUCCUACUUAUCAAUUUGUCAACUGAACCCCUAAACCCAUCAGAACACAAUAUUUUAAACCCAUUUGACCAUUAACCGAACUUAUGUAGCAUUGAUAAUGCUGAGUUGGAAAAUUACGUAAUUACAUACGUUUGACAGUGAGUAAAUAAGGUAUUUUACAUUAAAAAUAUUUAAAUAAUAAUAAUCAAUUUAAAAAAAAUAAUUAAAAACCCAUCUUCCUCAACCAUCCCUCUCCAACCCCACUCCACCCCUCUCUCCUCCGUCCGAACCCAUAAACUCAUCAUAACACAAUAUUUUAAACCUCUUAGACCAUUGACUGAACUUAUGUAGCAUUGAUAAUGCUGAGUUGGGAAAUUACGUGAUUACAUGCGUUUGACAGCAAGUAAAUAAGGUAUUUUAAAUUAAAAAUAGAGUAAAGACAUAAAUACACCAUCAAAGUUGUCCCGUAUUUUCAUAAUGACACCUUAACUUUUAAAGUGUCCUAUCACACCACAGAACUAUUUAAUAUCUUUGUAAAUGGGCCAUUUUGACCCAUUCCCUCGUCUAUUUAGUGGCGCGUGUUGCUCACUCCCUAUGAUGAGAAAAGACCCGACCCGACCCUGUUCUUUGAAGAAAGUCAUUUCUCCUUUUCUUUUCUUAUUUCUCAACUUUCCCUAAAAUCUAAAGAAAUAGAAAAGUUUUCUCAACAACUUUAAGUAUGAGUGAAAUAGGUCUAAAAAUAGAGGAGAUUAGAUAAAGGAUUCAAUCCAAUUACUUUGGAAGUGGGUCCUGAAUCUUUGUUGCAUCAUUGCAGCUUCGAGGGAUCCUAAGUUUCCAUACACUAAGAACCAUUGAUUCUUAGGUGAAGUAAUACAAUGGCCGGUUUAAAACACGGGGCAAGAUCUAGUACAGGUGUAAGGGUUGAUUAACAUAUUAAGCAUGCAUGGAUUAAUACUUCUCUACACCGCAUAGAAUCUCAAUUUCCAGGAGCACACAACAUGAUGGAAGCGGAGCCCUCCCCAUUGGACAAAAUGAAAAAAUAAAUGUUAAUGCUGUUAUACCCCAUUUUAACUCGAGGUCAAAACGGUGUACGACAUUUUGGUGAUUUCCAAAUUAAUUAACUUAAGAAGUCGCCACCUAAUUAAUUACGGUGAAUUAGGACACCUAAAUAUUGAACUAAGUAAUACUAAAAUGACUUCAAUUAAAAGGUCUACUAAACUUAAGAUUCUAGGUAAGGGUUCUAAUUAUCCUAAAGGGAAGGGGUAAGGCAUCCUUUAAGAUCCAUUAAAGACGGUUACCGGCCAAACUUAGGUUAAUUAAUUUUAAAAGAAAGAUAUGAGUGUUAAAUAUUAAGUGAUUGAAUAACCAAGUUGGAAAACAUUUUUUACUUUAAAAGCACUUUUGCAAUUUAUUAGAAUGAAAAAGAUUUAAGAAAGAGUAAUUUCUUUAGAUCAAUUUAGACAAAUUCAUGGCUAAAAAAAGUAAUUAAAAAAAAAAAAAAAAAAAAAAAAGCAUUUGCUCAUUAACCGACAAGAUGCUCUCUUUAGAAAAAGUUUAAGAAAAAUAAGAGUUUAGAACAAUAUAUUUUUUCUUUGAAAGAUAUUGCCAAGUUUGAACAAAACUUAAUAAAUUAGUGAGUUUAAAAUGGUGCAAAAGAAGUGUUUUAAAAAAAAAAAGCUAAAGUAACUAUAAAGGUUGUUUCUAACUAAAGGUACCCAAACCCAAACAUCUAUAUUAAGUCAACUAUUAUGAAUCCGAACUAGAAAUAUAUAAAUCACACAAGCAAGUAUAAAUUGAAAGAAAACACAAACAAAUAAUGCAAAAUGUAAGUAGCGAUAGGUGACUCCAAGAUAGGACCACUUGUUUUGCUUGCAAUUUCGAAUGGUCAAAGAUGUAGUGAAGAUUCCAUGUGCGGGUGUGAGGAUAAUGUUGAGUCUAUGAGACUCGGUAAUUUGCUAGAGUCUUGAAUCAAAGACUCCAUUUUGCUCCAAAGUGUACAUGUAAAUAAAGAGAGGGUAAAAAAGAAUUGGUAAGACAAUUAAACCUUACUCGAUAUCGAAUAAACUAGAAAUAGAAUUGAGUUAAAUAGCAUAACGAAAAUACCAUCCAAAACAUGAAAACAUGCAAAUGCGAAACAAAUCUCAAAGCAAACUACUACGACGCCUUUAAGGCACAAAAAAAAACAAUACACAACCCCUCAUAUUUAAGCUACAAACGAACUACUCGUUAAAGACUUGAAUUUAAAAAAAAUACUUAUGCCAUAAGUUUUCCAGAUUUAUACAUGCUGUAAUACUAUUACUUAAACUAAAAAAAAUAAAAACAAAAUACAUACACAAUACAAUUAACAAAAGAGCACAAAACAUAAGUUAGUACUUGUAUGCAAAAAGUAAGUUGCACGAGAAUUCCUACAGACGUAACUCUUAAUAAGAGAGCACUUAGUUGCUAACCAUUUUUUAUAUAUUUUACAGUCAUCUUCCUUAAGCAUGCUAUACAUAGGAAAAUAUGAACAUUGAAAUUUUAACAUAUAAGCACACGAAAUAAAUCAUUUAAACUGAGAACGAAACAGCAACAACACAACCCAUAUAAAUCGAACUAUGAGACUAAGUCAUUAACAAAAUAUUUAAAUCCAAAGCUAAGCCAUUCUUUAAACUCAAGGUCUAGUAAAUGAGGGGAAAACAAUUUCUGAUCUGUAUAAAUCUCAAAAGGAUACAAACACAUUUUUUAACAAUCAACAUAUAAUAAUAGCGAACUAAAUAAUAUUAGUUCGAGUAGAAUUUGAGAGAAACUUAAAAGCUUAUAAGAUACAGGGUGCGAAGCUGCUGUAGUGUAUCCGCGAUUAGAGCUUAUAUUUUUUUAAAAAAAUAAUGAUAUGGUCUGUACCAUAUUUUAACUAAAACAAAACAAAUAUUAUAUUCCUUGAACACGUUUUUACAUAGGAAUGCAUACAUAUAUCAAAUGAUCAGAACUUGGAGUAAGAAUUAAUGUAUAUGACCUAAAAUACAACCAUUUCCAUGUAAUAAAUAAAUUUAUAUCUCAAACGAAAACACAAAUACAAUUAUCAAAUAACUUUGAAUACAGUUAAACUAGGCAGGAAUUACUCUCUACAUACAAAUUUGUUAGAGUAACAUAACAUUUUCCCACAGAAACAAAACAGAGGAAGAAAAAGAGAAUGUCACCUGCUAUAGGGCAGUGAACGGGGCUGUUUCGAUCAAAUGUCUAUAUUCGAACAAUAACGAACUCAAGGAAGCUUGAAACUUGAGUUUCGAUCGAGAUUUAAAGAAGGAUGCAAAGACAAUAUUUUAGAAAAGAAAAUAGUAGUUAAACAAUGCUAUGGUGCAAGGAAAAGCUUUUUAAGAAUGAAUGCCAAGGCUUCUAUGGAGGCUGAAAAAUCCUCUUUUUUUUUUUUGCUAAAGAUAUAAGGAUGUAUUUAUAGAAAAAAUUAGGGUUCUUCAUUGUGUUGAGCGGGAAUAGAUUUUGAACUUUCAAAUUAGUCAAAAAGUCUUCAAAUCCGACCGUUUGAAGCUUGAAACAGACAUCACGUGAUACCUUGGAGAAAGAGACAAGUUUUGCUUGGAAUGGACCAAGCAAAGUCUGUCCAUGGCUGAAGAGAAACGAAACUUUAGCCAAAAAUGGAGGAGAAAAGACAGACAUCGAGUAAAGAGAAAAGACCUAAAUGAUUUCGGGUCUUGAGCCAUUUUACUGAUGAAUGAACAUUGGGUUGGGCUGGUGCUAAAUUUUCUUUUGUGGGCUGAUCUGAAAGUUCCGUUGGGCCAUAUUUUGGAGUGGAUUUGGGCUCGUUUUGCUGGACCAAUUUUGGGCUGAAUUUUGAAGGUCUUUUCUCUUCUUUCUUUGUAUUAUUUUGGGCUUCUAAAUUAAUAAUUAAUACAAUAUCUAUUAUGAUAUGAUAACAACUAGAAAUUUACAUAAUAAAAAUAUCACUAAUAUAAAAUAUAUAUACGAAAUAUUAAAUAAUAAUUAAUUUAAUAAAUACGAAACUAGAAAUAAGAUGACGACAAUUGGUUAUUUAAGAAAAGAGAUGUAAAAAAGUGAUAAUAAUCAUUUCGAUAAUAAAAACCUAUAAUUUUAGUAGAUUAAUAGUUGUAAUAGUAAAAAUAGUUGUGAAAAGAGAUAAUUCGAUACAUUAUUAAUUUAGAAGCUUGAAAAUGAUAAAUUAGAAGAAAGGAGGGUCAAAAUUGGGUGUCAACAAUGUUCCCUUUGUUGUUUUCCUAAUAUUGGUAGUUGAGAUAUUGUUAGGAUAUUAUAGUUUUUCGUUGUUACAGGUUGAUCUUGCUUGGAAAAAACCAUGAAAUCAAAAAAUUAGGGCUAUUUUGGGUUUAAAAUUGGGGAAGAUGACAUAAAUUGAUUAUAUAAUUAAUAAUAAAGAAAGCUAAUGACACGUGGCACUUUUAAAUUGGUCCAUGGCAGUGAAAGCACGGAAUGACGCGCCUCACGUGCAUGGUAACAACCCAGACGAGGGAAUGGGUCAAAAUGGCCCAUUUACAAUGAUAUUAAAUAGUUCUGUGGGGUGAUAGGACACUUUGAAAGUUAAGAUGUCUUUAUGCAAAUACGGGACAACUUUGAUUGUGUCUUUAUGUCUUUUCUCUUAAAAAUAUUUAAAUAAUAAUAAUCAAUUUUAAAAAAUAAUUAAAAACCCAUCUUCCUCAACCAUCCCCCUCCCACCCCUCUCUCCUCCGUCUGAACCCCUAAACUCAUCAAAAUACAAUAUUUUAAAUCUCUUUGACCAUUGACCGAACUUAUGUAGCAUUGAUAAUGCAGAGUUGGAAAAUUACGUGAUUACACGCUUUGACAACGAGUAAAUAAGGUAUUUUAAAUUAAAAAUAUUUAAAUAAUAAUAAUCAAUUUUAAAAAAAUAAUUAAAACCCAUCUUUCUCAACCAUCCCUCUCCCAUCCUACCCCACCCCUCUCUCCUUCGUCUGAACCCCUAAACUCAUCAGAACACAAUAUUUUAAACCCCUUUGACCAUUGACCGAACUUAUGUAGCAUUGAUAAUGUUGAGUUGGAAAAUUACGUGAUUACACACGUUUGACAGAGUAAAUAAGAUAUUUUACAUUAAAAAUAUUUAAAUAAUAAUAAUCAAUUUAAAAAGGAUAAUUAAAAAUGCAUCUUCCUCAACCAUCCCUCUCCCACACCACCCUACCCCUCUCUCCUCCGUCCGAACCCCUAAACUCAUCAGAACACAAUAUUUUAAACGCCCUUGACCAUUGACCGAACUUAUGUAGCAUUGAUAAUGUUGAGUUGGAUAAUUAUGUGAUUACACGCGUUGUCAGCGAGUAAUAAGGUAUUUUACAUUAAAAUUAUUUAAAUAAUAAUAAUCAAUUUUAAAAAAUAAUAAUUAAAAACCCAUCUUCCUCAACCAUCCCUCUCCCACCCCACCCCUCUCUCCUCCUAUUUGUUUUUUUUUUUCUAAAAAAAAUUUUGGGCUUUGCCCGAGGAGAUGUAUGGGGUGCAAUUGUCUCUCUUUCAAGUUUAUUAAUAAAAAAAAAUACCACAAUUGUUUUAAAAAAAAAAAAAAAACACCACCCCUCUAUCCUCCGUACCCCCCCCCCUCCCCGCCUCUCCUCUUCUUCUUCUUCUCUUGGAAUUUCAUCCACCACACUCACUCUCCUUCAUCCACCUCCUUCUUAACCCACACUUCUUUUUCAUUACAAAUCAACCGUCCACCCUAACCACUUAGUCUAAAAGUCUUUUAGAUUCUAGCUUUUUAGUCUAAAAGUAUUGAGAUAUUAUUAGUUUUAUUUGGCAUCAAAAAAGAGGUCUAAGUAUGGAUUAACACGAAAGAUAAUGGUGGAUAUUGAAAAAUUAAAACUCCAUUGAUAAGUUAGAGAAAGCUUGAAAUUUAUAAGAUAUAUUAGAACUAUAUAAAAAAAAAUAUCACAUAUACCAAUCAAUUGUGUAUACUACAAACAAUUAUACUUCUCUUUCAAAAUUUAGUUACUCAAUAUUACUUGCAAGUUUUAGUAGCAUCUAUAUCAUUUAAUUUUUUUGUACUAAUUAACACAGGACACACAUGCAACGCACGUGCCUAGAGACUAGUUUAUAUAUGUACAUAAACUUAGAAAAUAUAUCCAAUAUAUACAUCUUAAUUUUUUGUCGAGGGGGUUCGGGUGAACACUCUCCCUCCCUUGAUUGGCUCAUUGAUACUAUUAUUGUUAGUGCAAGAGGAAACUGCUAGGGAAGUUGCCUCUGAUAUAUGUUGGAGCAGAUGGGAUAUAAGAUUUUGAUUUGAUGGGUUCAAUUUUUAGGUUCUUAUCAUUGAGCCCGUUAUACUUUGAAAUUAUGGGUUCAUAUUCUAUUAUUAAUUAAAAUUUUAGUGAUUUUUCACAUAUACUUUUAUGAUCUGUGUCGAAAAUGCAAAUCUUAUACUUAUAUUCGCCAUCCGCCCUGUGUAACUGAACAUAUUACUGUUUGUCUUCCAUGUAACAGUGAUCCUAAAACCAUUCCUUAUUUAUGAUCUGUAACUAUGGUCGUUAUCUGCUAAUAGCUUCGGAUGUUCUUGUCCUCUAGGCUAGUUCUUGGACCUGCAUUAUAAAUUCACUACUACUAUAUCUUUCUUUCUUAUUGCAUUUGGGAUUUGCAGAUUGCUCUUUGUUAUCAAAACAUUGCACAAAUCUCUCAUGUGGUCAUUCACAUAUAACCCCAUUAUUUCAUAUUCUAUAUAAGAAUUAUGUAAUCAAAAAUAAUUUAGCAUCUUAUUUGUAGAUUUUGUUCUGUUAUUGUAACAUAACAAAACUACCUCAUUUGAAUUUCUUGAAAACGGAUGCAUGUAUUGAAUUCUUUCAUGCCACACAUAUUUCUUUAAAUUAUUCCAAACAUAAGUACAACAACAACAACAUAAGUAGUGAUGAAAAAACAAAGUGAACAUAAAAUUGCUAAAGAAACAACUAAGAAAAAGUAAGGGUUGAAUCCAUCUAAUGGAAUCCUGGAGGCCACCUCUUGAUGCUAAUACAAAGCGCUUUCAAUGGUGAUGAAAGAGGAUUAUGGCCAAGAGUGACAAAGAAAUAGUGUAAUCGGAUUUAACUAACCCUAAAGCUAGCUCAUCUCUGUACAAUCUCUUGUAGGGCCCUAUUCAGGUGUGCCACAAUUAUGUUAGCAGCUAUAUAUCUCAUCUUUCUUCAAUUGUGCCUGACAUUGUUUCAUGAACUGGAGUUCCAGGUUCUGUUGUAGAGAACCCUUCAGAAGCAGGGGAUUCUCCUAGGCCAUCGGAGAUUCCGAUUUCUGGGCUUUCCAAAGGUAGGUUGGGCGAUAAUUCAAUAGAAGCAUCACUUUCUGCAAACACUGUAGCCGUUAGGCUUUCAUUCCCUUCAGAUGGCUUUUUUGACAUAGAAUUAGAGUCGUCUCUCUUUAAAUCAAAGACUUUUGCUAUUGCACAAAGCUUUUUUCCUAUUGAAUCAUCAGUGACUAAGAUUUCUCUAUUCUGAUAAAGGAAGAUGAGGAAGAAUAGGAGAAGAGAGGAGCCUGCUGACACACCAUCUUGCUUUGGACAAUCUGUUUCAAUAUCUUUCUGUGGACAAUCUGUUUCAUUCCCAAACCAUUUCUGAAUUAUGUUAUUCAUAGUCUCUCCCUCUAUCACCUUCAAGACUGCUCUUGAGACGUCAGGUACCAAAGGAGAUCCUUUUGGAAAUGCCUGCAACAAGUUGUGGGAAAAUUAAAGAUUAGAUCAUUGAGUAAACCACUAACCACUCUAAAACAAAUGUUAACACUUGCUGAAACAUCAGUUAAGUACAACAAUCUUACAAAUCCAAAGCCGGCAGCCUUGUAUGUCGGACCAACCAUAAUAUACUUCCUGCAGUAUUUGUUCAGCAAGAGUCUGAGAUAAGGUAGUUCAUCAACAAUUGCACCAACACCUCCAUUUUUACUACCUCUUGAGAGUGCAUCAUUAUACUCUUCCAAUGUGCUGUAACUCCUAAAUUUGGAGCUGUCAAAUUUCAUGCGUGUCAAGACGUCUUUGACAAAGGAACCUUUUUUAUCAGCACAAAUCUUGAUAAGUUACUUGUUAUCUUCUCUUCUGCAACAACCAGUCAUAUAUAGGAUUUGUUGAGAAACAAGGAGAAAUCUUAAACUUUUGGUCUAUAAUUUGAUUUGAGUUAGAGACUUACUAUGAGCAAAAACGAGAGUUGAGAAGGAAAACCAAAAUAUUAUCCCAACUUGCUUGCGUUUGGGUCCUCGAAAAUCUUUGUUUACACGAUGUUCGAGUACCCAAACCACAAAACCAAUGAAGACGAAGAAUGCUCCGGUUGCUAUCCACAGCUCGGCCUUUAAAGGUUUCAAGAAGAUCCAAGCGUUCUUCCUAUCAUCAUUCCUUAAAGGCACAACUGCAGAAAUACCCGACUCUGAAUAAGGUAAUGUGAAAUCUACAUACUCAGAUCGGCUUGCUAAAAUGGUAACAUCACCUACAACUGCAUCAUAUUCCUGGUUCAAGCAAACAUUGAUUAUUUAAGUAUUUAUUGUUGGUCGCUAAAGCAGAACAUAGAUAAGAAGUCCAAAAAAGGAGCAUGUAAGUGAGUUAUUCAGCUGAAGAGGUUAAUUUUACCUUAGAAGUGAUCUUCUGAACAAGAUCAUCAUAGUUUUAAGAAGUAGGGCUAUGUGCUAUUGGAAAUAGAAUAAAUUCGUAGGGGACAGCAUAUGGCAAAGAUAGGAUGACUUCUUUGAAGACAUCUGGAACAAAACCAGUUACAAUUACUUCUUGUGUCGUUGGAUUUGUUUCCACUUGAAUGAAUUGCUCCAGCCCGUCAGGAACUCCGACCCUUAACUUCUUCCCACUUGUGGGUAUUUCCCAGCCUCUCGGAACAAUAGUAGAUUCACCAGGCCAAAUGAUGACCCCUAGUUGCUUAUUAUUAGUUUUAGCUGUUUUACCAUUCAUCUUGAGUUUAUGCGAAAUGCCAUCCUUCUCUGUCCAGAAUCCAACGAUUUUCUCUCCUUUCCCAAUUAUAUUCACAAUCUGAUAUGGGGACGGCUGCAGUUCUCUAUCAACGAUACGGAAAUCACCACUUAGUCCUGGUUUUAGCUCUGUGUUUUGCAUAGAGUCAAUGAGCAGAGAUCCCACUUCUGAGGUUCCAAGUGCAUCUAGGUCUGUUAAGUUCUCUCUAGUGUCUGGUUCUUAAUUUUGGGAUAGCAGUAGUGCCCACUUUCUCUACUGCUUCUGCUAAUAAGGUGAUGCUAUCAUAUGCCAUAGCCCGAAAACAUUGAGUUCUACUUGGUCCAUGUCUGGAUAUUCUUGACGAAAUCUCUUUCUCCAUCUCUUGGUGAACAUGUCAAGCGCAUUUGGAGUCCAGAAAACUCGUUAGCACAUCUGUGAUGAUCCAUGCAUAUCCACUGCUCAUCAUCCCAGCUUCUUUGGCCUUGAGGAAAAGGCGUGAGGCAAGAUAUGGUUGUAAGUGCACAAUGAACACUGUGGUUUGCUUUGUAUUCAAAUUGUGUAACUCCUUGAGGAUUUGAUCAUCACUGGCUGAAGGAGAAAUAGCACUUUUAUAGGGGACUAAAGUGUUGAUUUCCAGUAAGGCAUCAGUCAGAUGUGGAACUAUCCCAGUUCCAAUGGAGCUAUCCUCGUGGAUGAUUACAACCUUCGUCCAAUUAUAGUUUUUAACAAUUGCUGCAAUGGCUUUAGUCUGGCUGGAAGAAGGAAGUGCUCCUCUGAUGAAGAAGGGAUUUUCCUUGACUGUAAGUAAAGGACUUGUUGCUGGAGAAAUGAUAGGGACUUUUGUUCUGUUCCCUAUGUCAAUCACAAAAUCAGUUUGUGUAGACAUUUGUGGCCCAAAGAUAGCUUGUACUUGGACAUCCUUUAGCAAGUAUAUGGCUGCGUAUACACAAUCAGACUAUAAGAAAUCGUUCCAAAGUGAAAAACAGACGAAAAGAGAGAAUGAUAUGCUAGUUUAACAGAAGUAAAUCAUGGAUCAGAAUAUACCAGCGGAUGCUGCUUCAACAUCAUCUUUCUUUGAAUCCCUGAUAUGAGGAACUAUCCUUAUGGCACCGCGACUAGUGUUGGCAUGAUAAUCUGCAAGAGCUAGUAAGAUAGAUAUGUGCAUUACUUUUCCCACAUCUGUUUCCAGAUCAAGAAUUAUGCCCACAUCCACCUUUACAGCACUAGUGUUAUUAUCUUCACCUCUUAUUCCAAUUACAUAGUGGCAAAAGCUAAUGAUGGAAACAAGUUGAAUGAAAAUAAUUAGGAAUUUGCAUCUUGGAUUAUGCAUUUGAAAAACUCUUGUAGAAAGUAAUAUGAGUGUUGGGCAAGAAGCAGUUGUGCUUGUGCAAGAUUUAUAACCACCAUUCAGAGAUGUGUUUAAAGGUAUCUUAACUAUAACUUUUCUACAAUUAAAUGAGAGCAAACCUCAUAACUGCAGAAAGAAAAGUCAAAGUUUUCAAAGAAUUACAAAUGGUUUAAAAUAUACUAGUUUGAUUAUUAAAGAAAGAGUACUUUGCACACUUGUUAGACCACAAGCUAGUAAAGCCUCCUCAGUUUUGACCAAAUCAAUAAAUGACUAAAUGAACAUAGUGACAAAAUUGAUUUGUACUCAUUCUCCCAAUACCCAAAGAAGUUUUUGUAUUCAUUGGAUGACUAUCUAGAGGCUACUAAAAGGACUUCCCAUAUUUUGGCUAAGUCAUGUUGAAAGUUGAGUGCUAACUCAGUUACAAAUAAGUAGAAGAGGUCAGUUUCUAUGACUUGGACAUUGGAAAAGGGCAGCUAUGACUAGUAAUCUUUAGUUUACUUAGACGGUUUCAGUUUAGAAUUGGUCAGUAGUAUAAAACUUUAUGGUGGUAGAGGCACAACUUGUAGGGUUGUUCCGGGUUAUCGUUAAUUAAAAAAUCAAAUCAAACUUGUAGGGUUGUUUGGUUAGGUUUUAAAUUUUGAAAAUCAAUACUAUUUGGUUUGGUUUGGUUUUAAAACUGUAAAAAUAAUCAAAUUGAACGUGUAAUUAUAAUAAUUCUAGUAUUGCUUGAUUGAAUCCACAGUAACUUUCAUGUGUAUUGUUCAUGUACUAGGUGUCUGUGUUUAUAUAUAUGUCUUCAAAAAAAUUAUUACUUCCAAAACAAAAAAACAAAAAAAUUGAACCAAACCGACAAUUAUUUUUUUCAUUUGGUUUUAGAAUUUAGAAACCGACUAAAUUGAUCUGGCUUUGAUUUUAGCCAAUAAUCAAUCCAAAUUGAACCAUGAACACCUCUAGGCACAAAUAUAACUUGGUAUGUGAAGAAUUACUAUAAUACCUUUCCUUUAACUUUUUUUUUUUAAAAAAAAAUCUCCAUCCUCCAUUUUUUUCCCUUCACUUUUAAAAAAAAAAAAAAAAACCUCUAUUGGGAAAUUUUUCAAAUCAGUUUUUUUUACUCAUGAGCUCUAUUCCUUUCCCUUUUAUAUUUUUUAUAAUAUAAAAUAUAAGAUAAAAUAAAGAAUUUUUUUAAAAAGAAAUGAGAAAAAAAAUGAUGAAGAUGAGGGGUGAGGAGCUAAAGGAGAGAAGAAAGAUAGAACAUAAGAUGAGAAAGGUAGGGUCCCCAUAUUUUCUUUAUCAAAAAGUAACUUCUUACCUACCAAAGUCAUAUUUAUGCCUCUACCACCACAAAUUUUUUCGUAUUAACUUGCUUGCAAGUUGCAAAACCAAACAAAGCAAGCAUACCCAAAUGGAGAUGGAAUCUUGGAAUGAGGAUGGUUGGGUAUACAUGUAGGUGUCAAUGUCAUUGUCUCAAUAUAUAUAUAUAUAUAUACUCCCUCCGUCCCAAUUUAUGUGGCACCCUUUUUUUUUAGUCUGUUCCAAAAAACAAUGUCAUCUUACUAUAAUUAGAAACAAGGGAAAAGACUCAAAUAUGCUAUUGAAAUUUGAGAAAAGACUCAUUUAUGUCAUCCGUUAAAAGUUUGGUUCAUCUAUGUCAUUUUCGUUUGAGAAAAAACUCAUCCAUACCAUUAGUUGUUAACUAAAAAUAAUUUUGGUUUUGUAAGAUCAUUUUAUACACAUGGUCAAUUAUGAUUCGGCCAUGUCAUCAAUUAAAUCAUUUCUAUAGAAGAGAAAAUGUUCAAAUAUGUCAUCGAACUUUGAGAAAAGACUCAUUUAUGACAUCCGUUAAAAGUUUGUCUCAUCUAUGCUAUUUCAGUUAAUAAAUAAUGGCAUGAAUGAGGUUUUUCUCAAAUGAAAAUGGCAUAGAUGAGCCAAUUUUUUAACGAAUGACAUAUAUGACAUUUCUCAAAGUUCGAUGGCAUAUUUGAGUUUUUUCCCUAUAAACAAUUUCACUUAAAAUUUACUGUUAUCCUUAAUGAAAUUAUUUACAAACACACAAAUAUCUAAGGAUUGUUUUAGAUCACAAGUUUAAAAGUCUUUUUAAAAUAUAUAUAUAUAUAUAUAUAUAUAUUGUGUCAAGUUAAACAGUGCCACAUAAAAUGAGACAGAGAGAGUAAUUGUUAAUGUAAGAGGAAGCUGCUCGGGAAGUUACGUGUAUGAUGUUGAAGUUAUUUGACAUGCAGUUGAGGUGAUCCUAUAAUCUUCCAUUAUUUAUGACUAGUAAAAUCACUGAAUUUAUAAAAUAAUACUUAAAACAUAUGAGUCAUUAAAACUAAAACACUAUAUUAUCUUACAUAUAAGAUUACAUAUAACAAACAUUAAUAAUGUAAGUAAUUUCUUUUUUGCAUAUGUUAACAAAUUUUUGAAUUUCUUCCUGAGACAUAUAUCACAAUUGUAAAAUCUAUACAACUUAAAUGUGUUCUUGUUCUUACGAAACGCCUUUGUGUAUAUAUAUUCUUAUUUAUUCUCUCUUUUUUCCUUUUAAUUGAUGAUUAAAUAACCAUUAAUUUAUUAUUUCCUAAAUAAUUCAUUUAUUAGAUGUUCUUGAGUUAUGUGAUAAUGACAAAUAAUAGUAUAGAUCUUUAAGGAAUUUUUUUACUGUACCUUCAACAAUUUCAUGAUCAGUAGAGAAAACUUGCAUGAAUACUCAAUUAACAUGUGUUGUUUAAUCUGUACUAACAAAUACAAUUAACGUGUGUUGUUUAAUCUGUACUAACAAAUACUUAUAACAAUAACUUUGCAGAAACAUAAACACAAGUUUAAAACAUGUACUCAAAAACAAUAAUUAAUAACAUAAGCAUAAAUUAAUGACUGUAAAAAAAUAUACCAGGAUCUGUAAUAAUAGGAUGAAACAUAAAGGAAAAAAUUGUACACGAAUAUUUAAUUGUGCAGGUUAAGAAGAAGUUCAAAAUUUUCGUUUUUUUAAAAUGAGAGGAAAUCACUCUAUUUAUAGCUAGACAACAAAGGGUAGUGUGAGCAAAUGUUUAUUGUGUCUUAUCGGAAAGGUCACAACUCUUUGGAAAAGUUACAAACCCUUUGGAAAGGUCAUAACCUUUCAUAAAAGACACAACUUUUCAUAAAAGUCGCAACUCUACAUAGAAGUUACAACUUUUCAUAAAAGUCGCAACUGUUCAUAUAAGUCGCAAUUUUUCAUAAAAGUCACAACUUUUCAUUAAAGUCGCAAAUUUUUAUAAAAGGGGAAGGAUAGUUUUGUAAAUAUAUUAAUUAAAAAAGGAAUCCUGGUUUGUGAUGGCGCCACGUAGGCAGGCCUAGGGUUCUCUUUUAUAUAUAUACUAGUUUCUGAACACGUGCGUUGCACGUGUUUCAAACAAGUAGUAUACACGAUAAAAGUUAUAUUAAAACCAUAGUGUAAUCAAUAACGAAAAAAAGGUACAAACUAAAAUUGAUGAACGUAACACUCAUCCAAUUUGAAUGACUUAUUCGUUUAGCGAUAAAUAAUUAAUUACUAUCAGAACUACAAAAUUGAAUAAUUAUAUUUAGUUAGAUAAGUAAAAUGUAUAAAAUGAGUCACAUUUUAAUGUUAUUAGGUGCAAAUAUUUUAUUUAUAAAGAAGUAUUAGUAUUAAAUAUUUGCACCUAAUAACAUUAAGUAUUAAAUUUCAAGACAUAAUAUUUGAAUAAUGAAUUGUGAUGCUCAUACCAAAUAGCAAAACAAUGAAUCUAGAAAAUACUUUUAAAACAAAAAAACUUAGAUAUGAUAUUUAAAAUAUUUAAAACUUCUUGUUAAAAUUUACAAAAACGCAAAUAAUAUAUGCUUAUUAAGAAUUUAAAACUAAUUGUUAUAAUCUUAACAAUUGUGCAUGGAAACAAAAGCACCCAAAACAAAUGAAAUUCCAAUACAUGUGAAAUCAAAGUAUUGUAAUUCUAAGUAACUAAAUAUGCCAUGCAUACUUCUCAUCUCUUCUUUUAUGCAAACUAUUAGAAGGCAUAAAAAAACAAUGAAAAUCGAAGAUAAAAUAAUUUGCAUUCAAUCUUAAAAAGUUACAAAGAGGAGAUGGGGAAAAUUAGUAAAACUCAUUUAACCUUUAUAUAAUGUUUUUCCCAGUCCUUUGAAAUUUCAUUUCAUUUAUUUACUAAUGAAUUGAUUUACUAAUUAAUAUUCAAUUCAACUUUUCAACUUCUUUGUACUUACUGUAGCAAUGAAAGGUUGGCUAUUGGUUAACGUAACAAUUAAAUAAUUGAACCACCAAUGUUUCAUAUAAAGUUAUGGUUAUUAUAAGUAUUAAAUGCAAACAUUUUCUUUUUAUUGUAUGAAAUGCGUGUAUUUGUAUUUUUAUAUUAUAAACUUUUUGAAAUAAUAGUUGCUUGAAGGUUAAAAUGAUGUUUAACUUUUAAUAGGCGAUUUGGUAAUUCAAUUUUUCAUUUGGAAAGUUUCUACUUGAUAUAAUAUGAUAAUGAUCAAAAAUUUAAUAUAAAAUGAAUAAAGCAAAGAAUAAACAGGGAAAGAAAGAAAGAUGAUUGUCAUCAAUCCCUAUUAAAUCAUUGAAUUAAGUGUGAUAAUUAAAGUAUUAUUACUCCACUUUCAAAUCAUCCGUUCAAUUCAUGUUAUUGAAAACUAAUUUAAUUGAAGAUUUAUUUUAAUUAUGGUGUAAAUAAAAAUUAGUUUAUAAAAAAUGAUUUAGUAUAAGGGCAAAAUGGUAAAUCAACUUUGAAGACAAGAGCUUCCCACUUUUAAUAAUACUAGAAGAAAAAUGUGAAUUACAUGGAGAUUUUUUUCUUGGAAUUAGUAUCAAAAUUCGCAGAUAACUUAUUUCCUGCAAAUUUUCAUAUUAAUCCCCAGGAAAAUCCCCAUGUAAUUCACCAUUUUCUUGUAGUGUUGUACCAAAUUAUAAUAAAAUAACAGUAAAGAAAAUAGGUUGUACCCUGCUUCUUGCACUUAACUUUAUCCCACGAACAAUAGACAGAAAGGUGUCAUAUAAUCCUUACAUAUCACUAUCAAACCAAAUUCUCCCAACUGACAUAUUCUCCCACAACAAUAUUAUAUUCCCUCAAGUCCAAUUUUCAUCAGUGACUCCGUUUCUAAUGUUUUCCAAUUCACUUUUUCGACCUCCUUUUCACUAUUCAUUAUAUAAUAAUUGAUAUGAAACAACCCACAAUGUAAACAAGAUUUAAGAGACGUGAUUGAUUUACUUGAGUCGCUCACGUUCUUCUUUCGUUCACGCCGCUUUCUGUUAUUCUUCUUUUCCGUUCUUUCCCUUUUCUUCUACAGAUUAUUUUCACCCUAAUUAUUAUAUGACUAAUUAUAAGAGUGGUGGAAUUGGCUCACUACUAGUUUUAAUGCUAUCUUCUUUAACCACCAACUACAUUAAUUAUUAAAACUACCCCACUAAUUUCAUAAUGUAAUUACGAAUAGUCCAAAAUACCCAUUUAGAAUCUAUCGAACGAGUCUUUUAUGAAAUAAAAAGAUCUAGUACUCAAAACGACUAAAUGGGUCGUUACACAAUGUAACUCUUUAACUUUCAAAAUGAUAGGAGGUGAAAAGGUGAAAACAUUUUCUUUUUCAAUGAAUACAUUCAUUAUACUAAUAAUUCACCAUUUAAUAAACUUCUACCUAAAAAUGUUUUUUAGCAUAAAACAUGUAGGAAGUAAUUUUAAACAGUAAAAGGUAAAGGGUUAAUUAGUUUCUCAUUUAAUUAAUUCGAUUCAUUUAUUAGUAUAGGUAAAUUUAUUAUUUAGUACCAAGUAGUAUAAGAAUAGUAUUAAGAUGAAGGGUAAAAAUGUAAUUUGAUUUUUUAGGAAUAUUUUGUAAUUCAAUUUUAUAAGUUUUGGGGCUUCCCACUUAAUAAUUAUUAUUUAUAAUAAUAAAAAAAAUUUGACUUAACACCUUUCCAUUAUUAUUAUAGAUUAUAGAUGAUAAAUAUUAAUAAAUUAGAUAUUUAAUUAGGAAUUAAUCUUAGGAAGUCUAAAAGUCAUUUAACAUUUUUAAUUUAAAACUUAUACAAUCAAAUAUUUAAAUAUUUUAUAACAAUUUAAUUAAUAGAAGGGGUAAAACUGUAAUUCAACUUUCAACUUUUUUUGUUCAUGCUUAUAGUAAUAUAUAUGAUAUGAUAUAUAUAUAUAUGAUUAUUUACUGUGGUCGUUUUCUGAUAUGAUCACAAUAAGAUAUAACCGUCUAUUAUCUUUUAAACUUGUUUUUCUUUUUAGUUUGCAAUAUAUUUUGGAUUGGUAACAUUAGUAGUAUUAAAUUGUUAACAGCACUAGUUUGCAAUAUUUUUGGUUUCUGCAAACAUUAUUAGCACAUAUUGAAAGAGAUAUAUAUGAUAUGGUUUCAUUGAAUUAUAUCCUCUACAUAAGCAGUGAAGACAAAACAAAGUACUAAUGUUAUUUAAAUUGUCUCUAAAAUUUUGAUGAUUUAAUAAACUUUGAGAUCUAAAGAACGACCAGAUUCCAAGAGAGAUUGAGAGUUCUGUUUAUGAAAAAAACAGCGGUCUAAAAGCAGCAACACCUGCUGUGGUUGGUGCACGUAUUUUGCAGCAGACAUUCAGCCAAUGGCAGGGCAUUGCUUCAAGAGUUUGGGUCCAUCCUAUAAUACACCUCUUUGACAUUGACACAAACUCAAGUUUUUGCAAUAUAAAAAUUCAUAACAGCAAAAGUCAUUCUCUCAAGGAAAUAUUUCUCGAUAAAUGAUAGAGUUAUCAUCGUUCUUAGGUGUUUUUAGGGCUUAUAUUUCUGUGCUUAUACUUGUAAGAUUUAUUCCUACGUUAUAAAGGAAUCAGAUCAUUUGAAGUUUUUUCUGAGUAUUCCGAGUUAUAGCUAGAGUUAGUUAUGUUGUAUUCUUGAAUUCAAGAUCAACUAUAGCUAGUUGAUUUAGUGGGUCAUAGAGUUAUUGCUUAGUUUUUGAGUAACAGAGUUGUUACUAUGAGGGGAAGGGAUUAAGAGUUUAAUUCCUAGGCUACAAGGGUUUGUAAUAUGAAGCUUUGCACUUUUGAUGAUAAUGGAGUUGGGUUAAAUCCUGUGAGACAGACCGUGGUUUUUCCUCCCUUGAACAAGGGGCAUUCCACGUAAAACUCUUGUAUUUGUUUUACUUUGUGUUAUUUAUUUUCCACAAUUUUUCUUUCAAGGGACUUGGUCCAUUGACCAUUAGUGGACGCAUACAUUCUAUGAGUAAUAAUAAGAUUGAAAAAGAAACCACUAAGAAAAAGUAAGGGUUAAAUCCAUCAAAUGGAAUCCUGGAGCCACCUCUUGAUGCUAAUAUUCUGGCCAAGAUCAGUAACAAAGAUAUAAUGUAAUCUGGUUUAACUAACCCUAAAGCUAGCUCAUCUCUGUGCAAUCUCAUAUAGGGCCCUAUUCAGGUGUGUCACAAUUAUGGUAGUAGCUAUAUGUGUCAUCUUUCUUCAAUUGUGUCUGUAAUGGUUUCAUGAACUGGAGUUCCAGGUUCUGUUGUAGAGAACCCUUCAGCAGCAGGGGAUACUCCUAGUCCGUCGGAAAUUCUGAUUUCUGGGAUUUGCGAAGGAAGGUCAGGCAAUAUCUCAGGAGAAGCUUCACUUGCUGCGAGCAGUGUAGGUGCAUUGCUUCCAUUGCUUUCAGAUGGCUCUUCUGACAUAGAAUUAGAGCUGUCUUUCUCUUCAUCAAAGACUUUUGCAAUUGCAGUAAGCUUUUGCCAUAUUGAAUCAUCAGUGGCUAAGAUUUCUCUAUUCUGAUAAAGGAGGAUGAGGAAGAAUAGGAGAAGAGCGGAGCCUGCUGAAACACCAGCUAUGAGGAAAAGUCCCUUAAAACUAUCUAACGUGAGGCUAUCAGAUGUUAUUGCCGUUUCAUCUUUCUGUGGACAAUCUGUUUCAUUCCCAAACCAUUUCUGUAUUAUGUUAUUCAUAAACUCUCCCUCCAUCACCUUCAAGACUGCUCUUGAGACGUCAGGUACCAAAGGAGAUCCUUUUGGAAAUGCCUGCAAUAAAAGAUUAGAUGAUUGAGUAAACAACAAAUCAUUCUAAAUAUAUAUGUUAACAGUGUCUGAAACAUCAGUGGAGUGUACAAUCUUACAAACCCAAAGCCGGCAGCCUUGUAUGUCUGGCCGACCAUAAUAUACUUCCUGCAGUACUUGUUGAGGAAGAGUCUGAGAUAAGGUAGUUCAUCAACAAUUGCACCUACACCUCCAAUUUUUUGCUUCCUCUUGAGAGUGCAUCAUUAUACUCUUCCAAUGUGCUAUAAUUUCUGAACUUGGAGCUGUCAAAUUUCAUGUGCUUUAUGAAGACGUCUUUGACAAAGGAACCUUCUUGGUACCCAACAUAUUCUCCAUUCUUGAUGAGAUCAUUGAGGUCUGUUAUAGUAGGUUGGAGCUGUUGCAGUGUCAACAUAGAUGUUAAGCUGGCUGUAUAACUUGAUGUCAGCACCAGAACCACAAAAACCCACACAAUCAGCAAAAAUCUUGUUAAGUUACUUGUUACCCUCUCUCCUGCAACAACCAGCCAUAUAUAUGAUUUGUUGAGACACAAGGAAAAAUCCUAUAUCUUUCGUAUAUAAUAAUAUGCUUUGAGUUAGUGUCUUACUAUGAGCAAAAACGAGAGUUGAGAAGGAAAACCAAAAUAUCAUCCCAACUUGGUUGCGUUUGGGUCCUCGGAACUCUUUGUUUACACGAUGUUCGAGUACCCAAACCACAAAACCAAUGAAAACGAAGAAUGCUCCAGUUGUUAUCCAAAGCUCGCUCUUUAGAGGUUUCAAGAAAAUCCAAGCAUCCCUCCUAUCAUCAUCCCUUACCGGCACAACUACAGAAAUACCUGACUCUAUAAAAGGUAAUGUGAAAUCCACAUACUCUGACCGGCUCGCUAAAAUGGUCACAUCACCUACAACUGCAUCAUAGUCCUGGCUCAAGCAAACAUUGAUUAUUCCAGUAUGUAUAGUUGAUUGUAAUAGCAGAAAAUAGAUAUCGAAGUCCCAAAAAGGGCCAUGUUAGUAAGAUAUAGAGCCAAAGAGGUUUAUUGGAACAGAGAUUAUAUAUUACCUGAGAGGUGAUCUUGUGAACAAGAUCAUCAUAGUCUGGAAGAGUGAGGGGAUCUUGUAUUGGAAAUGGAAUAAAUUCGUAAGGGAGAGCAUAUGGCAAAGAUAGGAUGACUUCUUUGAAGACAUCUGCACAGAAACCAGUUGCUGUUACUGCUUGUGUUUUUGAAUCUCUUUCCACUUUAAUGAGUUGCUCCAGCCCUCCUUUGAGAGGAACUCCAACCCUUAACUUCUUCCCACUUGUGGGCAUUUCCCAGCCUCUUGGAACAAUAGUUGAUUCACCAGGCCAAAAAAUGGCUCCUAGUUGCUUAUUAUUACACUUAACUGCUGUUUUACCAUUCAUCUUCAGUUUACACGAAAUGCCAUCCCUCUUCGUCCAAAAUCCAAUGUUUUUCUCUCCUUUCCCAAUUAUAUUCACAAUCUGAUAUGGGAUUGGCUGCAGUUCUCCAUUGAUGAUACGGAAAUCACCACUUAAUCCUUGUUUUAGCACUGUGUUUCGCAUAGAGUCAAUGAGCAGAGAUCCCACUGCUGACGUUCCAAGUGCAUCUAAGUCUGUUAAGUUCUCUCUGGUGUCUGGUUUCUUUAAUUUUGGGAUAGCAGUAGUGCCUACUUUAUCUACUGCUUCUGCUAAUGAGGUGAUGCUAUCGUAUGCCCAUAGCCCAAAAACAUUGAGUUCUAUUUGGUCCAUGUCUGGAUACUCUUGACGGAAUCUCUUUCUCCAUCUCUUUGUGUAGUUGUUAAGCUGAUUUGAUCUUGGAAUGUAAGGUUUUAUACCAAGAACACCUUGCAUUGAUGACUCGAUCACUGAAUGAUCUACCAAGUCCAGAAGACUCGUUAGCACAUCUGUGAUGAUCCAUGCAUAUCCACUGCUCAUCAUCCCUGCUUCUUUGGCCUUGAGAAAAAGGCGGGAGGCAAGAUAUGGACGCAAGUGCACGACGAACACCCUUGUUUGCUUUGUAUUCAUAUUGUAUAACUCCUUGAGAAUCUGAUCAUCAUUGGCUGACGGAGAAAUAACACUUCUAUAGGAGACUAAAGUGCUGAUUUCCAGUAAGGCAUCAGUCAAAUGUGGAACUAUCCCGAACCCAUAGGGGCUAUCCUCAUAGAUGACCACAACCUCCCUCCAAUCAAAGUUUUUAACAAGUGCUGCAAUGGCCUUAGUCUGGCUGGAAGAAGGAAGUGCUGCUCUGAUGAAGAAGGGAUUUUCCUUGACUGUAAGUAAAGGACUUGUUGCUGGAGAAAUGAUUGGGACUUUUACUCUGUUCCCUAAGUCGAUCACAAAAUCAGUUUGUGUAGACAUUUGUGGCCCAAAGAUAGCUUGUACUUGGACAUCCUUUAGCAAGUAUAUGGCUGCACAUACACAAUCAGACAAUAAGAAUUUACCCAAAGUAAGAGUUUAAUAGAAGUGAAUCAUGGAACUGAAUUUACCAGCAGAUGUUGCUUCAACAUCAUCUUUCUUGGAAUCCUUGAUAUGAGGAACUAUCCUUAUGGCACCGCGACUAGCGUUGGCAUGAUAAUCUUCAAGUGCUAGUAAGAUAGAUAUGUGCAUUACUUUUCCCACAUCUGUUUCCAGAUCAAGAAUUAUACCCACAUCCACCUUUACAGCACUAGUGUUAUUAUCUUCACCUCUUAUUCGAACCACAUAGUGGUAAAAGCUAAUGAUGGAGAUAAGUUGAAAUGAAAAGAAUUAGAAAAGUGGCAUCUUGGAUUAUGCAUUUGAAAAAACUCUGGUAGCAAGUAGUCUGAGAGAUGGGCAACAAGCAGUUGUGCUUGUGCAAGAUAACCACACAUUCAGAAUGACAAUUUUCCUAUAAUUAAUAAGACCAAACUCCAUAAAUGAAGAAAGAAAAGUCAAAGAACAAAUGGUUGAAAAUCAAGUAUUCGUUUGAUUAUUGAAAGUGAGGACUUUUCACAUAUGCUACAACCGCACAGCUAGUAAGCAUAUUACCCCUCAGGUUUGACUAAAUAAAAAUUUGACAAAAUUGAUUGGUACUCAUUCCCCAACACCCAAUUACUUUUUGUGUGUACUAUCUAGAGGAUAUAUUCAAGGGAACUUACAUGAAUUCAACUAAUUUAGGAGUUAAUUACUUAAAUACAUUGUAGUUUGCAAUAUUACGUAUUUUACUAGAUUUUGGUAUGUCCAGAUACAUUCAGAUACAUAUAUGUGAGGUUACUUAGGAUCAAAAUUAGGUGUAAUUUGCUCUAGAUGCAUUGUAUCUAAGUGACUUUGCAUGUAUCUGGGAUACAUAACAAAUCUCGCUCGCCUCUCUCCCAUCUCUCACUCUCCUAUGUAUCUGAUAUUCCAUAUACAUGUGAAUCACACCAGAUACAUACACAUAAAUGUAUCUUAUGUGUAUAUAGUGUGAUUCGCAUGUAUCUGGGAUACAUAACAAAUCCCGCUUGCCUCUUUCCUCAUCUCGUUCCCCUAUCUUCCUAUUUUUGUGUAUCUGAUGGCAAAAAUUCAUGUAGCCAAAUGUAUUUUCCUCAAUAUAUGAUAGGAAACUCUUAAUUAGUGAUAGUAUACGAAAUAUUUUAAAAGUAUAGAAUAUAAUAGUAUAUAUGAUAGUGAAGUAUGUCUAAUGAUAUAGUUUUUCUGUAUUGAAAGGACUUCCCAAAUUUUGGCUGAGGCAUAAAAAGUUGACAAAUUUAGCUCAGUUACAAAUUCCACAAUUAAACCAAUAAGUAGAAGAGACCAUUGUUUUCCAACUUGGACAAGGCUAGAUACGACUAGUAAUCUUUAGUUUACGCGUUUUCAGUUACUAGUCUUUGGACACGUGCGUUGCACGUAUAUCCCAUAUUAUAUGGUUGCAUAAUAUAUGUCUAUAGUUACAAAUAUAUGUAUAAAAAAAAAUUGAUUGUGAUAUAAAUUGGAAAACAUGUAUAAGAUAAGAAAUCAAAACAGAUACCCUCAAAUUUCAAACUAUAAGCAUAAUAAGAAUAUGUAUUUCUAAUGAGUUUAAUCAAUCAUACCUUGCAAUAAUCUCUGCAAUUCAUUGAGAAACUUUCAAUCCAUACAUCAACAUUCAAUCGUGUAUAUAUAAAGAAAACUUGAAAUGCAUAACAACAAUUAUAUCUAUAUUUUUUAAAACACUAUAAAGUCAUUUUUUCUUUUUGCAUUAUAAUAUGGAUUGCACACAAUUUCUAUUAAAAAAAAGAAAGACAAAAUUAGGAAAAAUCGUAUCAAUAAAUUGGAAUGAAAAAUGUAAAAUUGUAAUAAGAGGAAGAGAAGAAAAAUACAGUAGAAUAUAUUACCUAACCAUGAAUAAGGAAGUAUGUUGAGUAAAAGAAGAGUAAUGCAAAAGUGUGAACUGAUAUAUGGAGGAAAUUGACAAAUAUAAUAAUCUAUAUUGAAUAAUGAAAAACAACUCUUCAAUUUCUGCAAAAAUUUUAUAACUACGAGCUCAAAAUAAUAUAAAUUUAUUAAUUUAAUAAAUGACAUAAAUAAAUAAAUAACAUAUAUUGUGUGUAUGUGUAGUUAAUGGGGUAGUGAAAAAGACUCUUUCUGAAAUUAUUUUUAUCUCUUUAAAGUAAUUUUGAACUUUUGAUAUUAGUGCUAUAGAAAAUCAUAUAAAGUCAUAAGCCACUGCAAGUUUUUAUAGUAAUUAUCUUAUUAAAUUAUAUACCUAUUAUUAUUUUUAAUUAUUUAUAAUCAUUCCGAAAAUGUAUAAAUUAAUUUUGAAAAGCUUGUAAAAUGAGAAAUUAUUAUUUCUUAUCAUUAUUUUAGCUAUUAUUAACAUUUAGUAUGACAACAUUUUAAAAAAGCAGCUUCCUUUAAAUAUUAAUUGUUUCUAAAUUAACAUAGCCAAGAAUUUAAAAUGUUGUGACGUUUUGUUUAUCUAAACACGCAGAAUUUUGUUUUUGAACCUGGAACAUGUAAUUAAGCCUUGGGUGAAUUAUAAUUUUAUUUUUACUAUUUAAUUAAUUAAAUAAUUUGUAACAUUUUAAUAUAAUGAAGGGGUAAAAUGGUAACUCAACUUUAAAGGUUGGAGCUUCCCACUUUUAGUAAUAUAUGAUAAAUUGGUCAGUAGUAGUAACCUAGUUUAAUUUGAUAUAAUAACAUUCAUGACAAAAUAAAUUAAAUAUGGCUAAUUAAGAAAAUAUAAUUAAAUAUGAUUAUCUUUAAUGUUAUUUAAAUUUGUAGGCGAUUUUUUUUGUAUUUUAAAAUUAAAAAAAGGCCAAAAAACCCACAAAAAGAGAUAAAUAGGAUUGAAGCCCUUAGAGAGCGUCACCUCACCGUUUUCAUAUUCAACUUUAUUAUUAUAUAUGGAUUUAGAUUUUUGCACAACCUUAAAUUUAAGGACACAUUUAGAUAUUAUAUCAAACAUUCAUUUAUUUGAAGUUGAAAUUACAUUUUACAUGAAAAUUGGAUAUUCCAUAUUCACAUUGAGUAUGAAUCUUUUUGUUUUUUUUACAAAAUUCAAAAUAAAAAAAUACAAAACAUAAACUUAUAGAUCAAAUUUUACAUUUGACAUUUGAAAGUUUUACUUUUCAUUAAACGUUUUGUUAUAGAAUUUGGAAUCGCCCUUUGAAAUUAGUAUUUAUAAAUGAAAAUAUUGAUCUAGUCCUGUUGAAAUUGUGUCUGGCCUAGUACUUUUUCUUAUUAGAGUGAUUAUUGAAUUAGGUUUAAUAUCAAUUUUCUUAAUUAGUUUUGUCAAUUGGCAGUGCUAAGAAGAUGGGAAUUUACGUUAUAUUAAAUUAUCUUUACAUUAAUAAAAAAAGAAAUUGUUGUUAGUAUUAUUUGUAAUAUAAUUAAACAAAAAUAACAAUGGGAAGAAAAUAAUAAGUAAAGAUUACACGUUGUAUUAAAAUAAUAAGUAUUAAAAAUUAUGAUAAAUUUUAUAAUAGUCAUAACAGGAAUUUACGCAAUAAUUACUAUAUUAGAAUACUAGAAAAAUUGAUAAGUUCCUCGACAUCUAAUCAUUGAUUAAAAUUUAAAUUAUUAUUUUCUUCUGCGAAAGUUUAAGAGAUUAAAUUAAUGUUUUAAAAAAUAAUAUUAAUUAUUUUCAAUGAUUAAUAAGAAAAUGUAUAUAGCAAGUACAUGUAUUAUUAUUACAUUAUUUAUAUCCACUCUAUAUUAAAUCAUUUUUCUAUUAUAGUUUGACGCAAAUUUCAGAAUGUAAAGAAUGUUUUGGAUUCGAAAAAUAAAUAUUCAAAAUAUACUAACAUGUCAUUUAAUCUUAUGAUAUUUUACAUUUCAUGUGAAAAAAAAUUAAAUAUUAAUUUUUUAAUAUGAAAAAUAUUAAUUUAUUAAUACAACAUAAAAGUAAUAAAGGACAAUAUAUAAAAAUAUUUGAAGUAUUUGAUAUUUUAUUAAAUUAAAAUAAUUCUAAAUUAAUAUAUAGCCGCGCAACGCGCGGGUACGUAUACUAGUGAAGAACAAUAAUAAAGAAGAAGACAAUUGAGUUAAUAUUUAUUUUUUCCAAGUUUAAUUUAACACAUGACCAGUUUUUAUUGGUCAGUGCUGUCAAAAAGUUGCACCCACGCGCCUAAAAUAGGUGAAAUCACGGACUCAGCCACGUAGGCCAAAAAGUGGUAAACAAUUAACUAAAAAAUAAGUUCAGGGGGGUAAUAGGACUUUAGUAAAGGUUAGGUGUGUCUCAGGGAUUUUGGGCAUAGGCUGGGGGGGUACUUAUGCAUUUUCCCUUAUGUUAAAUAUACCAAAAUGUUUUUUAAUCUUAUGACUUUAAACAUGUCACGUGAAAAACUGAAAUUAAAGUGUUGCCAAAAAAAGAAGGGUCAUUUUUUUUAAACAGACUAAACAGAAAAGUAGAUCUUUUUAAAACGGAAGGGAAGUAAUUGUUAAUGCAAGAGGAAGCUGCUUGAAAAGUUACGUAUAUGAUGUUGAAGUUGUCUAACAUGCAAUGCUGGUCCUAUAAUCUUUCAUUAUUUAUUAUCCAUGACUAUGGGUGGAUAAUAAUAGUUAUCUGCUAUGAUCAUAUAUACCUAGGGGUGGACAUAUUACUUAGAAAACUUAUGUUAGGUAAUUUUGAUUUCUAAAAAUACUAUAUGGUGUAUGCUAUUUGCAGAUGAUAGUCCUAAUCGACCAGACUCGUAAUAGAGUUAAUGUUAAGCUAGAGAAGAUAAUAAUGGCUCCCUUCUCAAAUAUUUCAUUGGUAGAAAUUUGCCUUCCAGAAUUUCAUAAUUGCAUCUGAUCCUUUCUGAUAACUCAAAGGGCAUCUUAAAUUGGUGCGGAAGUUUAAUUUUGACAUGGAACGCAAAUAUAUGCGGAAAAUUAGUAAUUCAAUAAAUAUUUAAUUAUGAAUGCAUAUUACAAAAGUGCAAGGAAUUCAAUUGUAAGAUGUUGAAGGUUAAACCCAUAAAUUCUAAAUACUAGAGACGCCUCUUAAUGCAAAUAUAAUAUGGUUUAACUAUUUUAAACCUGGCUCAUCUCUCUUAAGUUGUCCCUGUAAUGUUUUCAUGAACUGGAGUUCCAGGUUCUGUUGUAGAGAACCCUUCAAGUGCAGGGGAUGCUCCUAAGCCGUCGGAAAUUCUGAUUUCUGGGCUUUGCAAAGGAAGGUGGGGCAAUAUUUCAGUAGAGGCUUCACUUUCUGCAAACAGCAUAGCUGUUUGGAUUUCAUUGCCUUCAGAUGGCUCUUCUGACAUAGAAUUAGAGUUGUCUCUCUCUUUAUCAAAGGCAUUUGCUAUUGCAGAAAGCUUUUGCCAUACUGAAUCAUCAGUGGCUAAGAUUUCUCUAUUCUGAUAAAGGAAGAUGAGGAAGAAUAGGAGAAGAGCGGAGCCCGCUGAUACACCAGCUAUGAGGAAAAGGCCCUUAAAACUAUCGAGCAUGAGGCUAGAUGCUAUAGCCAUUCCAUCUUGCUUUGGACAAUCUGUUUCAUUCCCAAACCAUUUCUGUAUUAUGUUAUUCAUAAACUCUCCUUCCAUCACCUGCAAGACUGCUCUUGAGACGUCAGGUACCAAAGGAGAUCCUUUUGGAAAUGCCUGCCAGAAGUUGGGGGAAAAUAAAAGAUUAAAUUAUUGAGUAGAACAUAAACCAUUCUAAACAAAUGUAAACACGUUCUGAAACAUCACUGGAGUGCAACAUUCUUACGAAUCCAAAGCCAGCAGCCUUGUAUGUCGGACCGACCAUAAUAUACUUCCUGCAAUACUUGUUGAGGAAGAGUCUGAGAUAAGGUAGUUCAUCAACAAUUGCACCAACACCUCCAUUUUUACUUCCUCUUGAGAGGGCAUUACUAUACUCUUCCAAUGUGCUAUAACUUAUGAACUUGGAACUGUCAAACUUCAUGUGCUUCAAGACAUCUUUGACAAAGGAACCUUCUUGGUACCCAACAUAUUCUCCAUUCUUGAUCAGAUCAUUGAGGUCAGUUAUAGAAGGUUGGAGCUGUUGCACUGUCAACAUAGAUGUUAAGUUGGCUGUAUAACUUGAUGUCAGCACCAGAACCACGAAAACCCACACAAUCAGCACAAAUCUUGUGAAGUUACUAGUAACCCUCUCUCCUGAAACAACCAGCCAUAUAUAUGAUUUGUUGAGAAACAAGGAUAAAUCCUAAAGCUUUUUGUAUAUAAUUUGCUUUGUGUUAGAGACUUACUAUGAGCAAAAACGAGAGUUGAGAAGGAAAACCAGAAUAUCAUCCCAACUUGCUUGUGUUUGGGUCCUCGAAACUCUUUGUUUACACGAUGUUCAAGUACCCAAACCACAAAACCAAUGAAGAUGAAGAAUCCUCCUGUUGUUAUCCAAAGCUCGCUCUUUAGAGGUUUCAAGAAAAUCCAAGCAUUCUUUCUAUCAUCAUUCUUUACCGACACAACAGCAGAAAUACCGGACUCUGAAAAAGGUAAUGUGAAAUCCACAUACUUGGCUCGGCUCGCUAAAAUGGUCACAUCACCUACAACUGCAUCAUAUUCCUGGUUCAAGCAAACAACGAUUAUUUUAGUAUAUAUGGUUGAUCUCAGUCAAAGAAGAAAGUAGAUAUGGAAGUCCCGGAAAGGAGCAUGUAAGGUAUUCAGCCAAAAAGGUUAAUUCAAAAAAGAAUUGGAUAUUACCUUUGAGGAGAUCUUGUAAACAAGAUCAUCAUAGUCUUGAGAAGUGGGGCUAACUAUUGGAAAUGGAAUAAAUUCGUAAGGGAUGGCGUAUGGCAAAGAUUGGAUAACUUCUUUGAAGACAUCUGGAAUGAAACCAGUUGCAGUUACUGCUUGUGUUUUGGCAUCUAUUUCCACUUUAAUGAAUUGCUCCAGCCCUCCUUUGACAGGAACUCCAACCCUCAACUUCUUCCCACUUGUGGGUAUUUCCCAGCCUCUCGGAACAAUAAUAGAUUCACCAGGCCAAAUGAUGGCCGCUAGUUGCUCAUUCAUACUCUUAGCUGUUUUACUAUUCAUCUUCAGUUUAUGCGAAAUGCCAUCCUUCUCGGUCCAGAAUCCAAUGCUUCUCUCUCCUUUCCCAAUUAUAUUCACAAUCUCAUAUGUGUAUAGCUGCAAUUCUCCAUCAAUGAUACGGAAUUCACCACUUAGUCCUGUUUUUGGCUUUGUAUUUCGCAUAGAGUCAAGGAGCAGAGAUCCAAAUUCUGAGGUUCCAAGUGCAUCUAAGUCCGUUAAAUUCUCUCUAGUGUCUGCUUUCUUGAAUUUUGGGAUGAUGGUAGUGCCCACUUUUGCUAUUGCUUUUGUUAAUGCGGUGAUGCUAUCAUAUGCCCAUAGCCCGUAAACAUUGAGUUCAACUGGGUCCAUGUCUGGAUACUCUUGACGGAAUCUCUUUCUCCAUCUCCUCGUGUAAUUGUUAAGCUCAUUUGAUCUUGGAAUAUAAGGUUUUAUACCAAGAACACCUUGCAUUGAUGACUCAAUUACUGAAGUAUCUACCAGGUCCAGAAGACUCGUUAGCACAUCUGUGAUGAUCCAUGCAUAUCCACUGUUCAUCAUCCCGGUUUCUUUGGCCUUGAGGAAAAGGCGGGAGGCAAGAUGUUCUUGCAAGUGCACAAUGAACACCCUGGUCUGCAUUGUCUUCAACUUGUAUAGCUCCCUGAGGAUUUGAUCAUCAUUGGCUGAAGGAGAAAUACCACUUCUAUAGGAGACUAAAGUAUUGAUUUCCAGCAAGGCAUCAGUCAAAUAUGGAAGUAUCCCGGUUCCAUAGGGGCUUUCCUCAUAGAUUACUACAACCUCCCUCCAAUUAUAGUUUUUAACAAUUGCUGCAAUGGCUUUAGUCUGACUGGAAGAAGGAAGUGCGCCUCUGAUGAAGAAGGGAUUUUCCUUGACUGAAAGUGAAGGACUAGUUGCUGGAGAUAUUAUAGGAACUUUAACUCUGUUCCCCAAGUCGAUCACAAAAUCAGUUUGUGUAGACAUUUGUGGCCCAAAGAUAGCUUGCACUUGGACAUCCUUUAGCAAGUAUAUGGCUGCACAUACACAAUCAGACUAUAAGAAAUUGUCUGAACAUCUCUUUUUCAAAAUAGGAAAAGUAAUAUCUUAGAGAAAAAGUGAAUCUUUUGAAGCAAAGAGAGAAAAAUAAUCCUAGUUUAACAUAAGUAAAGCUUAGAGCUGAAUUUUACCAGCUGAUGCUGCUUCAACAUCAUCUUUCUUUGAAUCCCUGAUAUGAGGAACUAUCCUUAUGGCACCGCGACUAGUGUUGGCAUGAUAAUCUGCAAGAGCUAGUAAGAUAGAUAUGUGCAUUACUUUUCCCACAUCUGUUUCCAGAUCAAGAAUUAUGCCCACAUCCACCUUUACAGCACUAGUGUUAUUAUCUUCACCUCUUAUUCCAAUUACAUAGUGGCAAAAGCUAAUGAUGGAAACAAGUUGAAUGAAAAUAAUUAGGAAUUUGCAUCUUGGAUUAUGCAUUUGAAAAACUCUUGUAGAAAGUAAUAUGAGUGUUGGGCAAGAAGCAGUUGUGCUUGUGCAAGAUUUAUAACCACCAUUCAGAGAUGUGUUUAAAGGUAUCUUAACUAUAACUUUUCUACAAUUAAAUGAGACCAAACCUCAUAACUGCAGAAAGAAAAGUCAAAGUUUUCAAAGAAUUACAAAUGGUUUAAAAUAUACUAGUUUGAUUAUUAAAGAAAGAGGACUUUUCACACUUGUUAGACCACAAGCUAGUAAAGCCUCCUCAGUUUUGACCAAAUCAAUAAAUGACUAAAUGAACAUAGUGACAAAAUUGAUUUGUACUCAUUCUCCCAAUACCCAAAGAAGUUUUUGUAUUCAUUGGAUGACUAUCUAGAGGCUACUAAAAGGACUUCCCAUAUUUUGGCUAAGUCAUGUUGAAAGUUGAGUGCUAGCUCAGUUACAAAUAAGUAGAAGAGGUCAGUUUCUAUGACUUGGACAUUGGAAAAGGGCAGCUAUGACUAGUAAUCUUUAGUUUACUUAGACGGUUCAGUUUAGAAUUGGUCAGUAGUAUAAAACUUUAUGGUGGUAGAGGCACAACUUGUAGGGUUGUUCCGGGUUAUCGUUAAAAAAUCAAAUCAAACUUGUAGGGUUGUUUGGUUAGGUUUUAAAUUUUGAAAAUCAACACUAUUUGGUUUGGUUUGGUUUUAAAACUGUAAAAAUAACCAAAUUGAACGUGUAAUUAUAAUAAUUGCUUGAUUGAAUCCACAGUAACUUUCAUGUGUAUUGUUCAUGUACUAGGUGUCUGUGUUUAUAUGUCUUCAAAAAAAUUAUUACUUCCAAAACAAAAAAACAAAAAAAAUUGAACCAAACCGACAAUUAUUUUUUUAUUUGGUUUUAGAAUUUAGAAACCGACUAAAUUGAUCUGGCUUUGAUUUUAGCCAAUAAUCAAUCCAAAUCGAACCAUGAACACCUCUAGGCACAAAUAUAACUUGGUAUGUGAAGGAUUACUAUAAUACCUUUCCUUCAACUUUUUUUUAAAAAAAAAAAACCUCUAUUGGUAAAUUUUUCAAAUCAGUUUUUUUUACUCAUGAGCUCUAUUCCUUUCCCUUUUAUAUUUUUUAUAAUAUAAAAUAUAAGAUAAAAUAAAGAAUUUUUUUAAAAAGAAAUGAGAAAAAAAAUGAUGAAGAUGAGGGGUGAGGAGCUAAAGGAGAGAAGAAAGAUAGAACAUAAGAUGAGAAAGGUAGGGUCCCCAUAUUUUCUUUAUCAAAAAGUAAUUUCUUACCUACCAAAGUCAUAUUUAUGCCUCUACCACCACAAAUUUUUUCGUAUUAACUUGCUUGCAAGUUGCAAAACCAAACAAAGCAAGCAUACCCAAAUGGAGAUGGAAUCUUGGAAUGAGGAUGGUUGGGUAUACAUGUAGGUUUCAAUGUCAUUAUCUCAAUAUAUAUAUACUAGAGGGGCAUGGCCCGUGCUAAGCACGGGCCCAACAUAAACAUAGUUAGUCUAUUAUUCUCUAUAUAGGCAAAAUAUUGUUGGAAACUAUUCACUUAUAUAAGUAACUAAUUCAAGUUAUGUGUUUGUUAACAAAGUUUAUUCAUUCAAGCAUCUGCAAACUAUACACCAUACCAAACCACCAAUAAAGAAAAAGACAUGAAAUGUUAACACAAAUUAAACAACUUCAAAAGAAAGAAAGAAAAGAAGAAGAAUCAAGGAGGUGAAAGAACAUUAAAAUUUUGCAGUCUUAUCAGUCAAAUUCUAGUGGUGUCACAACUUUCACAGGGACCAUCAACUCUUCAACUUUUUGUACAUAUUUGCUUUUCAGUGCCAAUAAAUUAUUAUCUGUCGUUCCUGCAAGUUUUUGGAAAAAGUGUAUCAACAAUUGAUGCUAAAGAUCAUAUACUUUGUUUUGUAUUUUAUUUUACCAAGUAAAAAAGUCAGUAAUUGAUAUACCUAAUUUACUGCACUUAAGACAUUCUAGCUUCUAAAUCUAAUAAAACAAUACUAAUGAACACUUUUAAAUAAAUGAAAGAUGAUGGUACCUAAGGGAUGGAGUAAAUGAAUCAUGUGAAGUAAGCAAAUUGAAGUCAAAGUGAAUGUGUCAAUUACGUGGCCAUUAUAUCAAAUAUUUGUCAAUUCUAACCAAAAAGAAAUUGUUAGACAGUAAAUUUGUAAAACUUUAUAGAAAAUGACCUUUUAUUUUGUCUAUUUUGCCCUUUCAUGUGCUCCUUCAUGUCGCUUCCCCUUUCCAUUUUGUCGUCCCUCUCAUCUCAAUUCCCGUUUUGUUGUCCUCUCUUCCCAAUACUAUUUUUAUCCAGCUUGAUCUGGAAAAGAGGUAACUGACAUAUUAGUGUACUUAAUUUGGAACAAAAUCACUUGGAGAACAAUAAAGUAGGUAAUAAACACGAACAAUACUUAGACUCUGAAGUCUUGGUGAUAGUUAAGUAGUAGAAUGAGGAAGAGAUUAUACAAAUCAAUAGAGUUCAAACAACAACAUAUCUUAUCAAAUCUUAUCACUACCUCGUGGAGGUAGAGGUACUCUUUCCGAAAGAUCAAAUCACUGAUCUCGAUAGUUAUUGUUGAGUAGUUAAUACAUAAAUCUCUCCAGAGUAACAAAAAAAGGGCAGAUAGGGAUUAAAAGAAAUUAAGAAAAUGAAAUACGAUGCUACAUUUCUCAAGAGUUAAAAAGAGGGACAACCAAUUUGAGUAGUAGAUUCAGGUUGAUGGUGAUCUACUAUACAACUAAAUGGUGCAACAACUCAAAAUCUCAAGGAAAACAAAUCAAGACAUUCUUGCAAAUUAAAGGCACUAAUAAAACUGCGGCAGAAAUUCUCGUGACUGUGUGGUUCUAUAUGGAAAAUGACUUCCACAUGCUUGGUCUUAGCAAUACGCCAUGUGCACAAGGAAAAAUAUAUUAUAACCACGCGUUUCUUGUUACCGAUAAACAUGACUUAUGAGAAAGUCAGUUUUUAAGAGAAUUCGAAGAACAACAGGAUAAGAAACUACCCUUUCAUUUACUUUCUCAAACACUUAAUAAGGCUUCCGUUUUUUCAACAUUCUUGCAGAGUUGAUUGUGGAGAUCAACAAUUCAUCCAUUUGACCAUUAUCACUUGUAGACACACUAAACUGACAAAGAGUCUUAUAUCAGGGGUGUAUAAAUGAAAACCCCUUCUUUUCAUAUCUAUUUGAAUUGAUUAAACUUGUCGCACAACAAAUAGGAUCAACGUUUUCAGUAAUCAAAGGAAAGAAAAAAAUCUACAUCAAAGGCAUGUUAUAUGAAGUAUGUGAAAUAAGGAUUGUAGAAACGAAGGAGAAAUAAAGAUUUGAUUAGCUUACCAUUCAAAGUAAUUGUAGACAAACAAAGAAGAAGUGAAUAUUUGAUCACCGCUUACCGUUCAACUCAACUGUAGACAAACGAAGAAGAAGUGAUUGACCCUUAAUUUGGAAUCAAUUGAUUUUUUACUAUAUCUCGAUAAAAAAUUUAAUUUAUGUAACUCAUUUCUAUAUAAACAACCAAGAUGCUUAGAACAUACAUAACAUAUUCAAUGUGGCUUACUUCUAUAAAAAUCAUAAAUAAAAUAUAAAGGAAAGCUUCAAACUCUACCUAAUUAGUUCAUAUGAUCAGCAAAAUCCAAAAAACUUGAAAAAAGAAACAAAUUUGUACUCUCUUGCAGAAAUAAGUUUUGUCUUUUGGAAACAACCUCUCUAUCUCCACGAAGUAGGGGUAACAGUCUACGUACACUCUACCUCCUCAAACCUCACUUAUGGGAACUACACUGGGUAUGUUGAUGUUGUUGUUGUUGAAAUAAGCACAAAAGACUGGACUCUCACUAAAACUUCCGUAAAGAUCAAAUUCUUAAGUUUCAUUCUGCAACUAAAAAUCCCGAAAAUGAAGAAUCAGAUUACUCACAUUGACAAAAGUGGGGUAAAAAAUAACUUGAGCUUUGCUAUUCAAAACAUCAACAACUUCUUCAAUCCCAGAAAGUCUUUUAAUUGCCUUUAAAUGCCUAGCACUAUUUUUUUAAGAAGAAAUUACUGAACAACCUUAGUGAAAAUUCCAAAUUCGCCAUUGCAUCCAACCCCCGUCCCAUCCCUGGACUAUCCUACACCAGCUACCCUUAAAUCCUCACCCAUCCAUCCCAUUGAGUUUUGCUGGAUUACAACGGCCCCCAUCCCAUCCCUUGACUAUCCUAUACAAAAUGGAAAAUCUCUUCUCCAAGGAGUUAGGAGACAAUAAUCGACAUAACUAUGUCAUCUUAUAUAGGGACAAAAUGAAUACAAUCUCACCCUGUGGUCUUCGAAUCUAUAGUAGACAAACGGUAAGUAAAGAGAUAUUGUAUAACUGCACCAACUAUUCAUUAUUUCUGAAGUAAUACAGUGAGUGCAUCACAUGUUAAAGAAAUAAAAUUAAGUUUAUUACUUUUAUUCAUGAACAUGUACAACUCUUGAGAUGAACUUUAAUUUGUCAGUAAACUAUAAAAUAGAGGUAAUUUGUAAAGGCUUAAGCCUAUUGGAUUAGAUUAUGUUCUCCGUGGGGGCAGUUUUUCUUCAACUCCAAAACUGUAUACGUCACUUCUGGUGGUUAUAUGAUUUACAUAUGAGAGGCGACAAUUAGAAGCUGAGAAAAGAAAUGAUCUCAGGUUACAUGACAGAACAAACCAAGUAAUGUUACACUCCCAAUUUCUUUCAGGACACAUAGUAUUGAUAUUUGCGAGCAUGAAAGACUGAAGGAUUAAACAGAGGAGAUAACUCUUAAGAGAGACCUCAUCAAGAACUUAAGAAAAUUUGUGUGAUAAUUUAACAAAUUUAGCGAGGCUAAUUGAUGAAGGAAGUCUAUUCACACUAUAUUCAUUUUAGUGCACUUAUUGACUAAAUGUUUCCCAAGUUCGAAUGUGAGGCCUCUAUUUGAGGAUGUAAUAAAACAACAUUUACCAUUAGAACUAAUUGAGCAGCUUGUGUUAACCCUCUGUAUUUACCUGACGAAUAUGCUUUAAGGUGGAGGAAUUUUUUGCAGUAGUCUUCUAUUAAAACAUCAUUUAAGCUACCUAAAUGAAUGGACAACAUGUAGUUUUUCGACGCAGAAACAAAAAAUCUACCUAACAAAGAGACAGAUAUAUCAAAGAAGCCACAGGUCGAUAAUCAGAGUGUCCUAAAGAGUUACAUUUACAAAAGUUGAGGAGACUGGACACGCUGUCAAAUUAACUCAACACUGAUGCUGCAUUGAAAGUGAGAGUCCAUGUAAUGUGGAUACAAUUCAUUAAGUACACACAAAACAGUCAGCAACUAAUUUCAGUGAUGUGCAACAAAAUUCAUAUAACAUAGCCACCAAGUUGACCAUAAAAUCCAUCAAAACACAUUAAUGAGGAAUUCGUCUUACUUCAGUUUUGAAUUCCCCCGGCUUUUAAGUAUACAAGCCACAUUUUUACUGAAUUUUCUCUUCAAGUGCAGUAAAGUAGCUCAAAGAACAGAAAGCAAAGUUACAACUGACAACUACAUCGAGAAAGAGGCUACUAUGGACUGUCAAUUUUUACAUGUGAAUCCAAAAAUUAAGCUCGCAUAACAACGGGUAAUAUACCAAAUUCAUAUUAAAUUUUAGAUCAAACAACAUCAUUUAUCAUGCCAAAACAGUCUAGCUGUGCAACUUUUAAGCAAUUUGGAUACACUUAUAUCUAAAAAUUGGCUAAACUAUUGAUAAACGUACUAUCUAAUGCUGGAAAUAUGACAUAGUACAGUGAAUAUUGAUCAAUUUACUACCAUCGCUGCAUUUUGAUACUCCUUGAACAGAGAAACGGAUGGAAAUGGACCAGCCAAGCUACGCCUAAUUACACCAUCUCUAUCUUUUAACUACUUUUGUACUUGGCUUCCGAUUGACGCUCAGCUCAGGUAAAGCACAAGAACAAUUAGGAGUAAAUUGAAAUUGUAUAUUACCAGUGGUCAUAUACUCGGGAGUAGCACAACUGAAUUGUAUGGACAAAUCAUAAGAGGGCAACAGAAAUAUUGUUAAAACUUGUAGAAGACUAAAUUUUAAAGUAGUUUUAGAUACAGCAGCCAGCAAAAUGUUAGAUGAUUUGAAAUCCUGAUACAUAAUUUUAGCUUCUGGGCUGUGGAGAUAUGUCAGUCCUUUAGCUGCCUUGAGAGUAACCUUCAUUCGGAGAUUCUAUGAUAGCGGUUGGAAAUAAGCACUCCUCUGUUCAAGAUGUACCAAAGGUUUAUUCAAUGACAUUACACGGAUAAUAUUAGUGGAUGUCCUCAAAUUAGAUGUGGAUUCAAGAUUUCAAGUUUAUGGAUUUCUAUAAUGAACUAAGUUCAUAGUAAAAUAAAUUUCUUAUACAUGGUUUAGAAAAAACAAUUGGGUCCCCAUGAAUCUACAUAUCAUAUUGUGGAUCUGUUCUUGCGUUAAAUAUGCAGUUAUGGUUUCAUACAAACUAUACUUACUUCUGAAUAGAUGAUUUUCCAAACUUCCCCUCGGCAUGAAUUCGCACACCAGAAUCUUGUGUUCAUCUUCUAACCUGGCUCAGGUAAGCAAUUUUCGCCUGUAGUUUAAGUGUACAGAGAAAACAGUUAAUCAACUUAUCAAGAUCAAGAAUUAUAGGAAAGCUUCAAUGUCUUUGAUAAAACAAUCAUCGGAUAUUUUAAAGGGAAGAGUUUAUAUACCAAUCAUUCCUUGUGACCUUGAAAGCUUUCUUCAAGAAUUUCACUUUGACUUUGAGGAGUCAACUGAGCCGAUAAAUAUGAAUGUGAUCAUGGAAAUGAUGCCUAAUUAAUAUGUAUCUUUGUAUGUCUUCUGUCUGUUCCUAGUAAAAGUUGCACCAGUUUACAUCAAUUAAGUAAUAAACUGAAUAAGUUAUAACAUGACUAUCUUAUAGCUUAUUUCAAACUGAACACGUACAUCUUCAUUACGUUUUUUAAAAUUUAGUAGAAAUAGAAAUGUAUAAUGGUACCUGAUAAGCAAAUCAAAUUCGUGACUAUCUUCUUGGCUCAUUCGUUAUGGAUGAACUUGAAGUUUCAUAAUGAACUUACUUUCAGCAGGGUUAUAAGCAUCCAGAUCAUAAAAUUCUUCAGGGGCAAAUGGUAUAGGAACAAAUCUCUGAGCCAAUUUUGUAAUUCCCUCAAGGCGGUAACUAUUGAUUGAAAUCUGCAUUUUUCCAUAGCUUUCAGAUAAAUGAAUAAGAUGUGUUAAAAAUGGAGAUUGUUUGCUAUUUAUAUACCGAAACUUGCACUCUAUGAAAAAUAAAUAACUUAUCUUACAAAGAAUUCUUCAUGUUCAAAGAAAGUCUCCCGUGUCAUAUAAGCAAAUUAUAGUUUAUGUUUAUCUACAUAUACAUAUGUUAGUAUUCAACAUUAUAAUUCAACUGCAUAUCCAACUGGAAAAUUAAAUCAACUAAAGAGGGAGAAAUACUGGACUUUCCACAUAUGAGAAAGGGUUGUGAAAAUAGGGUAACUCUAAUAGCUAAUCCUUCCAGUUGAAAGUGUUUUUGAGAAAAAAAAUCAAAUUAAGUUCGAUGUACCUGAUAACGCUCAAUGUUCCCUGCAUGGCAUCUUCUCAAUUUCUUUCCUUUCCUUUCUUCUCCAAGUACUUGUAAAGUCCUAUUUAUGAAAAAUUAACAAAUUGAAAAAACACCCACAUCAAGAACAAAAGCGGAAGAAACACUACAUUUCAAUAAUCAAAAGCACAAAAAAUUGAAAUACAAAGCGGGACAACGGAGAAGAAGAGGAGUAAACGACCAUAACAACAACAUCCAAUCAAGUUUAGAUUCAGUACAUGCAACAUUACCACAACCUAAACACCAAAAUUGAUGAAUAAAAAAAAGUCGGAACUCAUCAAAUGAAAAAAUCGACAAAACAGAUCUAAAGUCAAAAGGCAAAACAAAAAUGAGAAGAAAGAAGGAAGGGAAGAAGCAGUGCAUACCUAGGAAGGUAUGCAAUUUAACUGAGAAUUUCAUAUGAGGGCUUGCAAAACCCUUCCAUUUUGCAGAGCAUUUUUUCUUGGGACAGAGAAUGGAUGCAGAGGAACAGGGAUAUAUCACAUAGCUAGGACACGUGUUUCACAGAUGAAUAUACAGAUACACAUUAGUUAGAAAGCAAUGAGUCAAAUUACCAAAUUAACCCUAUUGGUACAAUUAACUUGAAUUUUGGUACAACUUGUAUAUGUUGUGUUAGUCCGAACUCUUGUUGGCUGUAGAAGGACACGUGUAGCCCACGUGUUUAUUCAAUAGUGAAUAGGGCUUAAUGGUACAGUACAAUUUUUUAUACUAUUGGUACAACUUUGUAGAGCUGUGUUGGUACUCUUCUUGUUGGCUUAUAUAUAAGGGUAAAGAGCUGUGUUGGUACUCUUCUUGUUGGCUUAUAUAUAAGGGUAAAGAGCUGUGUUGGUACUCUUCUUGUUGGCUUAUAUAUAAGGGUAAAGAGCUGUGUUGGUACUCUUCUUGUUGGCUUAUAUAUAAGGGUAAAGAGCUGUGUUGGUACUCUUCUUGUUGGCUUAUAUAUAAGGGUAAUAUAUAUACUCCCUCCGUCCCAAUUUAUGUGGCACCCUUUAUUUAUAGUCUGUUCCAAAAAACAAUGUCAUCUUACUAUAAUUAGAAACAAGGGAAAAGACUCAAAUAUGUUAUUGAAAUUUGAGAAAAGACUCAUUUAUGUCGUCCGUUAAAAGUUUGGUUCAUCUAUGUCAUUUUCGUUUGAGAAAAAACUCAUCCAUAUCAUUAGUUGUAAACUAAAAAUAAUUUUGGUUUUGUAAGAUCAUUUUAUACACGUGGUCAAUUAUGAUUUGGCCAUGUCAUCAAUUAAAUCAUUUCUAUAGAAGAGAAAAGGUUCAAAUAUGUCAUCGAACUUUGAGAAAAACUCAUUUAUAACAUCCGUUAAAAGUUUGUCUCAUCUAUGCUAUUUCAGUUAAUAAAUAAUGGCAUGAAUGAGGUUUUUCUCAAAUGAAAAUGGCAUAGAUGAGCCAAUUUUUUAACGAAUGACAUAUAUGACCUUUCUCAAAGUUCGAUGGCAUAUUUGAGUUUUUUCACUAGAAACAAUUUCAUUUAAAAUUCACUGUUAUCCUUAAUGAAAUUAUUUACAAACACACAAAUAUCUAAGGAUUGUUUUAAAUCACAAGUUUAAAAGUCUUUUUUUAAAAAAAUAAAUAUAUCGUGUCAAGUUAAACAAUGCCACAUAAAAUGAGACGGAGAGAGUAAUUGUUAAUGCAAGAGGAAGCUGCUCGGGAAGUUACGUGUAUGAUGUUGAAGUUAUUUGACAUGCAAUUGAGGUGAUCCUAUAAUCUUCCAGUAGUUAUGACUAGUAAAAUCACUCAAUUUAUAAAAUAAUACUUAAAAUAUAUGAGUCAUUAAAACUAAAACACUAUAUUAUCUUACAUAUAAGAUUACAUAUAACAAACAUUAAUAAUGUAAGUAAAAAAAAAUUUGAAUAUGUUAACAAAUUUUUGAAUUUUUUCCUCAGACAUAUAUCACAAUUGUAAAAUCUAUGCAACUUAAAUGUGUUCUUGUUCUUACGAAACGCCUUUGUGUAUAUAUAUUCUUAUUUUAUUCUCUCUUUUUUUCCUUUUAAUGAUGAUUAAAUAACCAUUAAUUUAUUAUUUCCUGAAUAAUUCAUUCAUUAGAUGUUCUUGAGUUUAUGUGAUAAUGACAAAUAAUAGUAUAGAUUCUUUUAAGGAAUUUUUUACUGUACCUUCAACAAUUUCAUGAUCAGUAGAGAAAACUUGCAUGAAUACUCAAUUAACAUGUGUUGUUUAAUCUGUACUAACAAAUACUUAAAACAAUAACUUUGUAGAAACAUAAACACAAGUUUAAAACAUGUACUCAAAAACAAUAAUUAAUAACAUAAGCAUAAAUUAAUGAUUGUAAAAAAAUAUACCAGGAUCUGUAAUAAUAGGAUGAAACAGAAAGGAAAAAACUGUACACGAAUAUUUAAUUGUGCAGAUUAAGAAGAAGAAGUUCAAAAUUUUCGUUUUUUUAAAAUGAGAGGAAAUCACUCUAUUUAUAGCUAGACAACAAAGGGUAGUGUGAACAAAUGUUUAUUGUGCCUUAUCGAAAAGGUCACAACUCUUUGGAAAAGUUACAACUGUUUGGAAAGGUCAUAACCUUUCAUAAAAGACACAACUUUUCAUAAAAGUCGCAACUCUACAUAGAAGUUACAACUUUUCAUAAAAGUCGCAACUGUUCAUAUAAGUCGCAACUUUUCAUAAAAGUCACAACUUUUCAUUAAAGUAGCAAAUUUUUAUGAAAGGGGAAGGAUAGUUUUGUAAAUAUAUUAAUUAAAAAAGGAAUCAUGGUUUGUGAUGGCGCCACGUAGGCAGGCCUAGGAUUCUCUUUUAUAUAUAUAUAUGAUAUAUGAUAUGAUUAUUUACUGUGGUCGUUUUCUGAUAUGAUCACAAUAAGAUAUAACCGUCUAUUAUCUUUUAAACUUGUUUUUCUUUUUAGUUUGCAAUAUAUUUUGGAUUGGUAACAUUAGUAGUAUUAAAUUGUUAACAGCACUAGUUUGCAAUAUUUUUGGUUUCUACAAACAUUAUUUGCACAUAUUGAAAGAAAUAUAUAUGAUAUGGUUUCAUUGAAUUAUAUCCUCUACAUAAGCAGUGAAGACAAACAAAGUACUAAUGUUAUUUAAAUUGUCUCUAAAAUUUUGAUGAUUUAACAAACUUUGAGAUCUAACGAACGACCAGAUUCCAAGAGAGAUUGAGAGUUCCGUUUAUGAAAAAAACAGCGGUCUAAAAGCUGCAACACCUGCUGUGGUUGGUGCACGUAUUUUGCAGCAGACAUUCAGCCAAUAGCAGGGCAUUGCUUCAAGAGUUUGGGUCCAUCCUAUAAUACACCUCUUUGACAUUGACACAAACUCAAGUUUUUGCAAUAUAAAAAUUCACAACAGCAAAAGUCAUUCUCUCAGGGAAAUAUUUCUCGAUAAAUGAUAGAGUUAUCAUCGUUCUUAUGUGUUUUUAGGGCUUAUAUUUCUGUGCUUAUACUUGUAAGAUCUAUUCCUACGUUAUAAAGGAAUUAGAUCAUUUGAAGUUUUUUCUGAGUAUUCCGAGUUAUAUCUAGAGUUAGUUAUGUUGUAUUCUUGAAUUCUAGAUCAACUAUAGCUAGUUGAUUUAGUGGGUCAUAGAGUUAUUGCUUAGUUUUUGAGUAACAGAGUUGUUACUAUGAGGGGAAGGGAUUAAGAGUUUAAUUCCUAGGUUACAAGAGUUUGUAAUCUGAAGCUUUGCACUUUUGAUGAUAAUGGAGUUGGGUUAAAUCCUGUGAGACAGACCGUGGUUUUUUCCUCCCUUGAACAAGGGGCUUUCCACGUAAAACUCUUGUAUUUGUUUUAAUUUGUGUUAUUUAUUUUCCACACAAUUUUUCUUUCAAGGGACUUGGUCCAUUGACCGUUAGUGGACGCAUACAUUCUAUGAGUACUAAUAAGAUUGAAAAAGAAACCACUAAGAAAAAGUUAGGGUUAAAUCCAUCAAAUGGAAUCCUGGAGCCACCUCUUGAUGCUAAUAUUCUGGCCAAGAUCAGUAACAAAGAUAUAAUGUAAUCUGGUUUAACUAACCCUAAAGCUAGCUCAUCUCUGUGCAAUCUCAUAUAGGGCCCUAUUCAGGUGUGUCACAAUUAUGGUAGUAGCUAUAUGUGUCAUCUUUCUUCAAUUGUGUCUGUAAUGGUUUCAUGAACUGGAGUUCCAGGUUCUGUUGUAGAGAACCCUUCAGCAGCAGGGGAUGCUCCUAGUCCGUCGGAAAUUCUGAUUUCUGGGAUUUGCAAAGGAAGGUCAGGCAAUAUCUCAGGAGAAGCUUCACUUGCUGCGAGCAAUUUAGGUGCAUUGCUUUCAGAUGGCUUUUCUGACAUAGAAUUAGAGUUGUCUUUCUCUUCAUCAAAGACUUUUGCAAUUGCUGUAAGCUUCUGCCAUAUUGAAUCAUCAGUGGCUAAGAUUUCUCUAUUCUGAUUAAGGAAGUUGAGGAAGAAUAGGAGAAGAGCGAAGCCUGCUGAUACACCAGCUAUGAGGAAAAGUCCCUUAAACCUAUCUAACGUGAGGCUAUCAGAUGUUAUAGCCGUUUCAUCUUUCUGUGGACAAUCUGUUUCAUUCCCAAACCAUUUCUGUAUUAUGUUAUUCAUGAACUCUCCUUCCAUCACCUUCAAGACUGCUCUUGAGACGUCAGGUACCAAAGGAGAUCCUUUUGGAAAUGCCUGCAAUAAAAGAUUAGAUGAUUGAGUAAACAACAAAUCAUUCUAAAUAUAUGUUAACAGUGUCUGAAACAUCAGUGGAGUGUACAAUCUUACAAACCCAAAACCGGCAGCCUUGUAUGUCUGGCCGACCAUAACAUACUUCCUGCAGUACUUGUUGAGGAAGAGUCUGAGAUAAGGUAGUUCAUCAACAAUUGCACCUACACCUCCAUUUUUGCUUCCUCUUGAGAGGGCUUCAUCAUAUUCUUUCAAUGUGAUAUAACUUCUGAACUUGGAGCUGUCAAAUUUCAUGCGCUUUAUGAAGACAUCUUUGACAAAGGAACCUUCUUGGUACCCAACAUAUUCUCCAUUCUUGAUGAGAUCAUUGAGGUCUGUUAUAGUAGGUUGGAGCUGUUGCAGUGUCAACAUAGAUGUUAAGCUGGCUGUAUAACUUGAUGUCAGCACCAGAACCACAAAAACCCACACAAUCAGCAAAAAUCUUGUUAAGUUACUUGUUACCCUCUCUCCUGCAACAACCAGCCAUAACAUAUUCUCCAUUCUUGAUGAGAUCAUUGAGGUCUGUUAUAGUAGGUUGAAGCUGUUGCACUGUUAACAUAGAUGUUAAGCUGGCUGUAUAACUUGAUGUCAGCACCAGAACCACAAAAACCCACACAAUCAGCAAAAAUCUUGUUAAGUUACUUGUUACCCUCUCGGCUCGCUAAAAUGGUCACAUCACCUACAACUGCAUCAUAGUCCUGGCUCAAGCAAACAUUGAUUAUUCCAGUAUGUAUAGUUGAUUGUAAUAGCAGAAAAUAGAUAUCGAAGUCCCAAAAAGGACCAUGUUAGUAAGAUAUAGAGCCAAAGAGGUUUAUUGGAACAGAGAUUAUAUAUUACCUGAGAAGUGAUCUUGUGAACAAGAUCAUCAUAGUAUGGAAGAGUGAGGGGAUCUUGUAUUGGAGAUGGAAUAAAUUCGUAAGGGAGAGCAUAUGGCAAAGAUAGGAUGACUUCUUUGAAGACAUCUGCACAGAAACCAGUUGCUGUUACUGCUUGUGUUUUUGAAUCUCUUUCCACUUUAAUGAGUUGCUCCAGCCCUCCUUUGAGAGGAACUCCAACCCUUAACUUCUUCCCACUUGUGGGCAUUUCCCAGCCUCUUGGAACAAUAGUUGAUUCACCAGGCCAAAAAAUGGUUCCUAGUUGCUCAUUAUUACACUUAACUGCUGUUUUACCACUGUUUUACUAUUCAUCUUCAGUUUAUGCGAAAUGCCAUCCUUCUCUGUCCAGAAUCCAACGCUUCUCUCUCCUUUCCCAAUUAUAUUCACAAUCUGAUAUGGGAUUGGCUGCAGUUCUCCAUUGAUGAUACGGAAAUCACCACUUAAUCCUUGUUUUAGCACUGUGUUUCGCAUAGAGUCAAUGAGCAGAGAUCCCACUGCUGACGUUCCAAGUGCAUCUAAGUCUGUUAAGUUCUCUCUGGUGUCUGGUUUCUUUAAUUUUGGGAUAGCAGUAGUGCCCACUUUAUCUAUUGCUUCUGCUAAUGAGGUGAUGCUAUCGUAUGCCCAUAGCCCGAAAACAUUGAGUUCUAUUUGGUCCAUGUCUGGAUACUCUUGACGGAAUCUCUUUCUCCAUCUUUUCGUGUAAUUGUUAAGCUGAUUUGAUCUUGGAAUAUAAGGUUUUAUACCAAGAACACCUUGCAUUGAUGACUCAAUGACUGAAUGAUCUACUGAGUCCAGAAGACUCGUUAGCACAUCUGUGAUGAUCCAUGCAUAUCCACUGCUCAUCAUCCCGGCUUCUUUGGCCUUGAGAAAAAGGCGGGAGGCAAGAUAUGGUCGCAAGUGCACGACGAACACCCUGGUCUGCUUUGUAUUCAUAUUGUAUAACUCCUUGAGAAUUUGAUCAUCAUUGGCUGACGGAGAAAUAACACUUCUAUAGGAGACUAAAGUGCUGAUUUCCAGUAAGGCAUCAGUCAAAUGUGGAACUAUCCCGAACCCAUAGGGGCUAUCCUCAUAGAUGACCACAACCUCUCUCCAAUCAAAUUUUUUAACAAGUGCUGCAAUGGCCUUAGUCUGGCUGGAAGAAGGCAGUGCUGCUCUGAUGAAGAAGGGAUUUUCCUUGACUGUAAGUAAAGGACUUGUUGCUGGAGAAAUUAUAGGGACUUUUGUUCUGUUCCCUAAGUCAAUCACAAAAUCAGUUUGUGUUGACAUUUGUGGCCCAAAAAUAGCUUGUACUUGGACAUCCUUUAGCAAGUAUAUGGCUGCACAUACACAAUCAGACAAUAAGAAUUUACCCAAAGUAAGAGUUUAAUAGAAGUGAAUCAUGGAACUGAAUUUACCAGCAGAUGUUGCUUCAACAUCAUCUUUCUUGGAAUCCUUGAUAUGAGGAACUAUCCUUAUGGCACCGCGACUAGUGUUGGCAUGAUAAUCUUCAAGUGCUAGUAAGAUAGAUAUGUGCAUUACUUUUCCCUACAUCUGUUUCCUAGAUCAAGAAUUAUACCCACAUCCACCUUUACAGCACUAGUGUUAUUAUCUUCACCUCUUAUUGGAAUUACAUAGUGGUAAAAGCUAAUGAUGGAGAUAAGUUGAAUGAAAAGAAUUAGAAAGUGGCAUCUUGGAUUAUGCAUUUGAAAAAACUCUGGUAGCAAGUAGUCUGAGAGAUGGGCAACAAGCAGUUGUGCUUGUGCAAGAUAACCACACAUUCAGAAUGAUAAAUUUUCCUAUAAUUAAUAAGACCAAACUCCAUAAAUGCAGAAACAAAAGUCAAAGAACAAAUGGUUGAAAAUCAAGUAUUCG